rnacentral:lncRNA from 1 species
GCGCGGGCAGUCGCAGAUAAACCAGCUUUUGUGCAACUGAACAUCAAUGGAAAUUUCAUCUCCGAUGAAGGGAUUGAUGAGGUGAAGGAAAUUCUGAAGGCUGGUAAGAAAUCCCUGGAUGUUCUGGGCUCACUAGAUGAGAAUGAACCUGACGGGGAGCCUGAUGAUGAGGAAGAGGACGAGGAUGCUGAGGACAAUGAGGACGAGCUGGAUUUGAAGCUACAGAGCGUGAAGGUUGAGCAGGAUGAUUGACCAAGUUGGUUUUAAGGUAUAAGUGCUGUUGAUCCUUGGUUCCUUAGUCAGUUUUUGUUAUGUAAAACCAUUGCAAUCUGAUUAUAGAUUAGAACUUCACUUAUUUAUUCUGUUAUAUUCAGGUCAUUGCUCCAUUAUAAUUGGUCUGAUUUAUAGAUGAUACCUAUUUUCUCAACAAGUCUUUUUGGGUAACUGUUCGCUGGUAGUUGACCUACUACUGCUCGCUGGUAGUCUUUAUUACACAAGAUUUUUUUUUUUUUGGGGGGGGGGGGAGGGGGGGGGGCAUCACUUGUCGAGAGGAUGUUCUGGCCAUUCAUUGGUAGAUAAACCUCUUGUUUCAUUGAUAUAAGCAGUUAAAUACAUCACUACUCAAAGGAUCUGUGUGCUGUUCCCACAUGGUAACCUUUAAAUCUCUUCCACAGGCCCUGAUCUGUGGAUUUAAUCAUGAACCGUGUGUCACAAUAUAUACUUCCAGUAAAAAUGUUAGUGCAACAAUUUAUGCUUCCAAGUUUCAGUAAAAAUGUUAGUUCAGGAGUAUUAGAAAACACACACGCUGCUUGUAUCGAUGCAGCUUUUCACAUGACAUCUGGUUUGCUUUGUGUUUUUGUUAUCAAAUCAAGUUGGUUGUAAGAUGUAAGCUAGUAGCAGAGUCUUGAUUACUGUGGUUCCUAAUCAGUUUUUGUUAUGUAAAACCAAUUAUCUUGUGCGUUCUCAUUUCUGAUUAUAGAUUAUAACUGCUUAUUCAUUAUGUUAUGUUCAUGACAUUAUUUUGUUAUAAAUGAACUGAUUUAUAGAUGCUACCCACUUCCCCAACAUUUUUUUGGGUGACUGCGCUUUAGUAGUUGACCUACUACUAUAAGGUUGUCUCUGUGACCCUGCUUUGGUCAGUAAAUUCAUUUGCUAAGUCUGUAUUAUGUUCACUUUAAUCACAGGUUCCACCAGUUACCUGAAUUUGACCAAGGGAAAUGUCCUGGGCUCACUAGAUGAGAAUGAACCUGACGGGGAGCCUGAUGAUGAGGACGAGGACGCUGAGGACAAUGAGGAUGAGUUUGAUUCGAAGCUGCAGAGUGUGAAGGUUGAGCAGGAUGAUUGACCAUUCUUAGGUUAAAUAUCUUUAGCGCUAACUGUUUUUUGUUGCAAUGUGCUGUAGAACUUAUGUGGUGGAUGCACUCAACCCACGCUGCAAUAAAGUAGUCUUUGGCCUCAAAACAUAUGUUAUGAAUAUCAACCAGCCAGAUCCUGAGAUCCAUGAAGAUUAACUCAUUAUAUUGGUCUGGAUGCGCUCCUGUGAGCUGGGUUUUGUUGAAUUUGUACCUAGGGUUCUGAUCUGAUCUGGAAAUGCCCGCCCCCCCCCCCCCCCCCCCCCCCCCCCCCCCCCCUGUGCCAAGCUCACUAUAUUUUCUGCAACGACUGCCAUGUUUCUUGAGGUUCUAAUACCUAGGCAGACCUACAGUAAGCAUUGCUUAUUCAAACAACAGCUAUAGUAUAUCAGAAUUCAGCCUACAGACGCGCUGCUGCGGUACAGGAUUCCCCUACAGUUUCACCAAAACAAAUAUCAGCCUAAGAGUAAAAGCAUGUGAGUCUAAAAAUAUGUCAGGUUUGUAUCAUGGGUUUAGCUCGAUAUUAUAGCAAAGAAGCAAUAGUAGAGAAAUGACGUUGCAUAGGGUCGGUCGACUGCUAAGAUAUUACAGUGAACAUUCAUCGUAGGAAAUAUUACUGUGUCGAUUCCUUUAGAUCAUUUCGGUAAUAACACAAAUACAUAUUAUCUCUUUGUCCUCCCAACUCCGAGGGUUUGGCUUGCAGGUACGGUACUUGGAGCCAAACCAUAUGUGAUAACUAUUCUACUAUUUUCAAUCCAUCUGCUCAUGUAUUCCAUUUUCCUACUAAGAUGGUAGUAUUCUAAUCAGUCGCUUCACUCUCAUGUGUUUGUUUUGCAUAUGUCCUUCAAAAGGACUCCUGUAAGAUCUAAUUGUCCAUUCUCAGAACCGGGAGGGUGAUGGUAAAAUUGAGCUUGAUACAAUGAAGCUUAUCUUCUUGUCAAAAGCUUCAGCCUGUUGCAGUUUGGAAGAUAUAUUGCAUGUCAUCUGCCACUCUGCAGAGAUAACUUGUAGGCAGCUGUGCAUAUUUUGAAUUGAUUACUAAGUGUCAAGCAUUUUAUUUUAUUUUUAUUUUUUGGUGUAUCAAGGGAUCCAACUGCGCCGAAAGGAUAAGAAGAUUCUAAAUGACAUAAACGCUGACAAAGAUGGUAGACUCCUAUUUCAUAUUGUCACGGAGAAUGGAAAAAGGAAGAAGCGUGUUCAGACCAGAGGAGAUAAUAUUCUUGCUAGCAAAUGACUGCUUAACUGGAGACCCCCUAAUCCAUGAUUUAUCCCUCAAUCAGAUCGUUUGCUUGUCUAGUUGCAAACACCCCUUGAUUUUCUCCCCUACUAUGUUGACUAUAGUGGACUCCCAUGCAGGAAACAAAUUCAAUAUGCUCAAAUGGAUGUAGGAUUGCCAAAUGCAUGCGAGAAUAUUUUAUAUACAAAAAGAACUACAGAUCUGCCAUAAAUUCUAUGAUCCUUGCAAAUAGUCUACAUCAAAAGCUGGGAAGAGCAGUCCAUUUCUGCUGAAACAACUGCCUGGGAUUGGAAUUGUAACAGCAAAGGUUAUUAAUUUUGUGAUUGUUUAUUGUUAUGUAGCCACUGCUGUAUCUGCAGCCAGCAUAAUUAAUUCUUGAGUCACUUGCCACCUCAGGCUCUGAAGACUGCUGGAAUUCAUAGCUUUGAGACCUUCGCAACUGCUGAUUCGAGAAAGAUAGGAUCUGCCACAGGACGCGAUUAUCCAUUUGGGAAUCAUAUCAAAGAAUCGAUGUCAUCAUUACCACCCAAAAUUGAUAUACACAUAGAGGGAACUGGAAACAGACUUGGGAAACCGACUAUUACUGUAACAGGAACUUGGGAAAUCCUUUCAAAACUGGAACUCCAGCUGAAAACCAGUUUGCUUGAGCUUAUCUGUCGAAUCUGUCAAUCAUUGAACAGUGUUUUUCUCUCAUAACAAAUCAGCGAACAGUACUUUCAGUCAUUCCCCUUCCGUGCUUCCAGUCUGUUCAAUGCAUAAAGCAAGUCCGAGUUGCAGGUCAAUCCUUCGAUAGUUCGAUAUUCAGGAAUAUUGCAAGGAUAUCUUGAGGAGCAGAAAGGACAGUCAAGGAGGUUACAAGAGUGAGUAUCUUUUCCUUUCUAUGAUCUGCUGAAGAUCCUGAGCAGUGUACGGUCAGUUCAAUAUCCUGCCCAUAACAUGCAGUGUAACAUGGAAAAGCAUAUUCUUUUCUGGCAUCAGUUUAGUUUUGAAUGCUGUUCUGUGGUCUGUACACAUAACUGGAGUAUGCUUAUGUAUGGUACAUGUACAAGUUGUUAUUGGCUGCACAAACUAUGAUGUUUUCUGCCGGGUGCCAUGCUAGAUGCUUCACCUUUGAUGCCAUGUUGCAUGAAACUUCCUCCUUGCCGUCGGACCUCGGACCAUCAUGACCUGCGCGACAAGAGAUUUUCCAGAGCACAUUAUGAUGAGCUUCAGUGAUAACCUCUUGGAGACAUAGCUCGAAGCCUCAAAGCACACAUGAAAAACUUGGCAAGCAAAUAGAUCUUCCCUGACCUUUUCUAUUAACUCCAAGAGGGAAAUUGCUGAGCAGCGCUGGAAGCUUUGUAGGAGCCUGUAAUUGUAUCCUGCGGCCAAAGUGCAAGGUUCAGUAGGCGCCAGAACUGUAUUAAGUAAUGAACUUUGGACCUUUGGAGUUUGAUGUUAUUUACUUAUUUGUCAACAAACCAUAGCCAUAUAAAAACCCGGCAUGGCAUAAAAAAGUUUGGAGUUUGAUCUUGUUCAGAUGAACAGCACGCUAUGUUCUCUCAAAAUGAGAAGGAAAAAAGAAGCAGUAAUCUUUGACGCAAUGUACCUGUAAGGGUUGGUGCUAGCUUCCAACGUAGUGCCGCUUGUCUGCGCAGCAGCACGGGAGAAAACUUUGAAGGUAUUGCUGCUUAUCAUAAGAACCAUAAGGAAAAAGGUGUUCGAGUGUCCAAGAUGGCGAGAUCACUAUAGACUACACUUGCGUUUCAGUAGUAGAAACCUGUAAGAUCCAGUAGCGAAGUAGGCGCCAUCCUUGCUUGCGCAGCAGCUGAACCUGUCGAAAAUGUAGUCGUCGGUGUACAGCUCCGACAGCUGCAACGCCAGCACACAAGCAACAUUUCUGAAAUUACCAUCUUUUCUUUGAUACUCUACCAAAAGAAGGUUCUGAAAUUCUGAUAAGAGUUUUGAUCCACGAACUGGAGAGUAAAUUGUAAACAUACCUUUGGGCGAAGGAACUCGUGCACUUUGUAUGUUGCGACGGGUGAGGUUUCCACGCGCAGGUCCCAGAGCUGCAAAACAGUGAGGCUUCAGGGUGAGGCAUUGUUGCAUCGCUGCUUGCUGACAACAGCUAGCUGCACAGUUGGUACUUGGCACAAAUGGAGUUUAUAGCACUUUGAGGUUCAUGUAGUCGCGAGUUAGAAGGUAUUGUCCGUCGCCUGUGAACUUUAGAUCGGUGAUGCAAGAUAUUAUCUCAGUAAAAAAUGUGCUGGGCUGAGGGCGGUUCUCGCGGUCCUGGAAUCUGUUCAGUAAGCGACAGUUUCAGGGGGAAAACAAAAGGCACAAUAGCAGAAAUAGCAGAAGCUAACCGCGCAGAAUACGCGUGGAGAGUUGAGAUGGAGGGGGCUGCAGAAGUCACUCACAUUCUCACGCUCUGGUCGCACAGCGCCGAUCGCCGCAGGUCGACCAGCCGGACGAGGCCGCUGGAGCUGCCGUAGGCCAACAGGCUGCAGGACGACGGGUGGAACUCCGCCGUGGUGAUCACCUCUGCUUCGUCACACUCAGAUGUCAGUGCCAGCGCUUGCUACGGUUGCCGUUCACGAACUGGACAUAUACGCUAGUACAAUACACUUGGGUGGUAAGGAAAAAAAAAAUAAUAAAAUGACGAAAUCACCUACGAGAUCCUCCAUGUCCGCGGGCCUCAUGUCCACGAUGUUGAAGCACUGGCUCGUCACCUCCAGGUGCCACAGGUUGAUCCUCACGUCGUCCGCGGACACGAACGUCUCGCCGUCGCUGUACAUGAACAAGCAUUGACCUCCAUCGCUUUGCCAAGAAUAGAAUCAGUAGGGUUCAGGCAGGAUGAACCAGCAAUUCAUUUAAAUAAAGUCAGCCAACCAGUUAUUCGAGACAGAGUGGAUGUUGAACUCGUGAGCCCGGCCGAAGACUCUCCGGCAUUUCGCAGAGUACCCAUCUCCGACAUCGCCUACCUGUUCACAAAAUCACAUCGAUCAAAUUAACUGAGCUCGGCAGAUCGAACAUUGCAACUCAGCAAUGCUAGCUGCAGCCUGAAGAGAGUACUAAAAACCUUUUCAGGACGUUCGUCUGCAGGGUCUCCAGACGAACCCCUCGGCUCCAUGGCUGCCCAUUCAGAUUCAGAAUAAUACGGUUCUUGCAGAGACAACGCCGCCGUGGUGCCCCAGCGCUGCGGCCGAUCGCUCCCUUUCUUCGGCGCCUUCUUGUGUUCGGAGACCUGUCCCGGAGCUACAGGAUCCGUUAUACUCGAUCCAUUUCGCGUGGACACGGAUCAUCUGUUACAGUGGUUCGGUAGGAGUACCUUCCAGAGCUUGACCGUACGGUCAUUGGCGGCGAGCAUGAGCAGGGAGCUGUUGGGCCGCGCGCACCACCUCACCCUCUUGAUCUUCUCGCUGAUCUCCAAGCUGUGCAUCACGUCAAACUGCACCGGCACUCCGCCAUGGAAUCAAGGUCAGCAACAGCAGAGAAUGCGUGCACUAGCUUAGCUGCUGGUCACCCUGCUGGUCGUCUCGUCUGAAACUAAAAACAACAGCCCGAUCGGUGGCAGGCUCACCUCCGGCACGUGGCUCUGGAACUCCGUCGCGUAGCUGUACCUCGGCGGCGGCGGUGCUCCGCCGGCACGAUCCGCGCGCUCAAGCUCGGCACGAGACCGCAGCAGCGCCUGCAGACGAAGUACAGAGAAACCCCGCGUCAGUCAGUCACCCCGUGGCCGCAACAAGCACGAAUUAGCACCGGGAAAUUAAGCAGGGACGCGUACGCCGUCGCCGUCGUCGGUCCUCCGGAAGAGGAUGACGCGCCCGGCGUUGUCACCGGCGGCCAGGUACUCGCCGCGGCCGUCGAACUCGAUGGCCGAAAUUUCGUCCGCUGAAGCACGCGCGCGCGAAAGCACCGAUCAGUCCCAACAACAAACAAACAUGGGGCGGCCUACGGCUAGCUCUGAUGUUUGAGUAUGCAGACAUUGAUCGGUAGAUACCGUCGUCAUCCUGGGGACGGGGAGCGCCGUCGCGGUGGGCGUCGGCGGCGGCGGGCGGCAGUUCGCCGAGGACCUGGGAAAACUUCCACUGGGGAAGAAGCCGGGACGGGGGCUGCGGUUCUCGGCGGCCAGACGGCGACGGAGAGGUGGUCGGCGAAGGGGCGACGGACCUCGUGCUCCUCCGCCUCAUCGGCAUCGCUGUGUCCUAUAGGCUAGCCAUCCUCUGCUACAAUUAAACCGCACGGGCAUGGGGAAUGCUGCAUUUGUGGCGCUGCACAUUUUUGCGCGGCCGUGCAGUGAUACGGUGAAGAAGCAUCCGUGUCCACUCGCCUGUUAUUAUCGUCAUCUUCUGUUCAUUCUCACACUUUCUUUCGUUUUCUUCCUUCUAUUAUGCCCAUAGCCGCACAUAUCGCCGUCGCAAUGGACCAUCCAAAGAAUGUCUCACAUAAUCGACAUAAUAUAUGCAAAUGUGCUGGGUGUGGACCUGAUGGGGGGCUGUUUAGUUUCCAAAAUUUUUGCAAAAAUGACUACGGUAGCAUUUUUGUUUGUACUCCAUUUUAAAUUGUAACUUAUUUCAAAAAUCUUGAAGAGUCAAAGCAUCUCAAAUUUGAUCAAAAUUAUAAAAAAAUUAUGGCAUCAAACAGAUAUACUAUGAAAAUAUAAUUAAUAAAGCACCUAUUGAUAUUUAGUUAAUAUAAAAAAAUGGUAUUAUCCUACUAUAUAAAUUUGGUUAAAUUUGAGAUGCAAUGACUCUUUAAAAUUCUUGGAAUGACUUACAAUUUGGGAUUGAGGGAGUAUUUGACAUGUCUAAUUAUGAAUUAACUAGGCUCAAGAGAUUCGUCUCAUAAACUACAGCACCUAUUGAUAUUUAGUUAAUUUUUUUUCUAUCUAUAUUUAAUGUUCUAUGUAUAUGCUGCAAGAUUCGACGAAAAACCUUGAAAAUUUUUACAUUUUUUUGGAAACUAAACAUCCCUGGCUAGCAAACUAUGGAUAGUCUAGCCGAAUCCAGUCGGCAAGCCAUGGAUAGUCUAGCCGAAUCCAGUUUCAUUGAGUUUUAAAAGUUCCCCUACGUAAUGCUGCAAAAUGUAAUCUGAGCCCGCAUUCUGCACUUCUCCUUAAAUGUAGCAGUGCUCCUGCUAACUUUUCAAAACUUUUUAAAAAAUAUCGCAAUCAAAUUUGUGAACAGCCCCUGCUAAAAGCCUGCAGUUGUGUCAAGGCUCAACGCGUACCUGUGAUGGAAUCAUAUGAUCAUCGAAAGAAAAAUAAAGAAGGUACAGCCGAACAUUCUUAGGUAAAGAAACCACAAACUGGAACUGGAUUCCUCAGGCUGUGACUGAGUAGGGGGGCACUGCUUAGUGCGGCCUUGUUUAGUUUCAAAAUUUUUUGCAAAAUAGACACGGUAAUACUUUCGUUUAUAUUUGAUAAAUAUUAUUAAAUUAUGGUCUAAUUAGAUUCAAAAGAUCCAUCUCGCAAAUUACAGAAAAACUGUGCAAUUAGUUAUUAUUUUUAUCUAUAUACAUGCACCGCAAGAUUUGAUGUGACAGAGAAUCUAAAACUUUUUGUAAAAUUAUUUAGGAACUAAACAAGGCCAAAGAAUGAUAUGCAUCGUCCAUUAUUUCCAAUAUUAAGGGGUGUUUAGGACUGCUCCACAAACUCCACUGUGGAGCAGCUCCACAAAAAACUGAAAUUUGUAGAGUACCUCCUUAGACUCCACCAUUUUUUCUCGAACUGAGUACGUGGAGCUGAAACCGUUUAGAGCUAAAAAAAACGUAGAGCAGUGCAGUCCCAAACACCAUCCCAAACACCCCCUUAGUAACGUGAUCCUAAUAAUAUACAAUUGCUGCAGCAGGUUCGGAUGGUUCGUACUCGGUCCCGUGCGCUCACACUUACAUGUCAUGGACCUAAUUUUACCUCUAUUCAUGGUUGCAUGUUUCGGAAAAAUGCUCAACCACGGCAGAAGAACAAAACUUUGCUAGCCUUGUGUUGCUCAAGCUGAUUGAUUAGCUGCUAGCCUGUUACACAUUUACAGGUGUCUCUAACACCGUAAAUCCUCCGGCAGAAUGCCCUUAUCCGCUUCCCAAAAUGGUGGCACUACUAGUCCAGCAAUGAGAAUACCGGAAUCCCCUUAGCGUUGAAACUAGAGCAUUUCACUAGUAGUUCCUGUCCAACUUCGAAUUCCUUUUGGCCAUUUGCCUGCAAAGAUGCUCCAGAACUUCAGUUACCAAUGUUCAUUGAGAGUAUUGAUGGAAAGGAUGCAAGGAUUAAGAAUCUACUAAUAUAGUGUGGCCAUUGAAAGGGUGGAGUACAGGGAUAAAAACUGUGUUGCUAAUAGCAGUAUGAACAAAAAGGGCAGCUUUUUUUUUCCUCAAGAGUUUGUACGAAAUUACCUCAAAUUUAUGCAUUCCACGCGCACCAUCACUCAACUCAAGUACUAGUCCAAAGGCUCGAAUCUGGUAGACCUUUGCCGUAACUACAUCACCUAACUUCAUUGCCCCAGACUGGAAGUUCGUGGGACUCUGAUUCAGGUCCAAAGUGUUGUCAGCAGUCUUUUCUGGAACAUCAGAACCACUGGUUUGCAGUCCAUUACUCCCAGAUUCCUCAAUCUUUAUUUUCUUAGUUUUCUUUGUAGUAGCACUUGUGGAUUUCUUAGCAGUAGCUUUCCUAACCUCAUGACCUUCGCUGGCUGGUUUAUAUGGUCUAGGAGAUGACUUUGCAGCCUUCGCCCGCUUCUUAGGACCAUUUGCAUCAUCUUGAGCAUCACAAUCAGCAGCACUUCGAAUUAUAACUGAAGGAGUCGAAAACGCAGGUGCCUCCUCAGUUGUGCCAUUUUCAUGUUCGGUACUGGAUGCCUCAGCAUCAACAUCCACACUAAUCAUGUUCUCUACAGCAGUCCAACCGCUAACUUCACUUGGCAAAGGAUCCUUAGUUUUCAAAUCCUUCUUGCUACGUGGUUGGGGUAAAGUUGCUUUAAGUGAAAGUUUAAUGUUACCCCGCACAUCCUGUCCAAUACAUCUGAGAGAGAGAGAUUGGCCAACAGUUACAACAUCUGAGACUUUCGCUACCUGCACAAAGAAAAUAGAAACAAUAAUUAAAAACUGGUGAAAAGCUGGUAUGUUAGUAUUCAAUAUAAUAAGUUAUAAUGGGGUUGAUAAAACGGACUCUCACUCAAUAUAAUGCAAGUCAACAAAAAUUCAGCCUGUAGCUCUACAAAGGGAACUUUAAACUAUUUGCGAAUAAAUAUUCAACUGCCUUUAACAAGAAACCAACAAAUGUAGACUUAAAUGUACUGGAAGAUAGUACUGACAAUCUAUUUCCAGAUAUCAUUCGGAACAAUCCUAGUGACUAGAACAUAGCCCUAUUCAACCUCAAUCCCUCUAUUACAGAAUUUCAAGAGAAAUACCGGUUCAUGUGACAACUCUGAAAUGUGAAGUAAGCCUUGCUGUCCACCAUUGAACUCCACAAAAGCACCAUACUCCUUGAUUGAGGAAACAAUUCCUUUGUAUGUACGACCAACUUCAAUUUCACGUCCCACGAGGAACUCAACCUACAGCGAAGAAAAGUUCAGAAUUCGUUAAAUGAAGAUUAUUCUUUCCUCCGAAGCACUGCACUUUUGACAUUCUAACCAGCACAAACUGACAUCAUAUGUACAUUAAGCAAUUACUAUUGAGGCUCUCAUGAAUAGGUGUCAUAGGCACUUGUACCUUCUCAAUAGCUUUAUCCAUAAUUUCUUGAGUUUUAGCAACAAUAGUGACUGUACCAUCACUGACUGAUACUCGUGCACCUAAGAAAAUGGAAGAGAGAGAUUAACUACAACACCCAGUUCCCAGUAGCUGAACAAAAUAUAACCCAGCAUAAUUAUAUGAAAAUACUCAGCCAUUUAAAUAUACAAGUCAACUAAAAGGAAACUACAUUUUCACAGACUCAGCCUAUUCCUUUGGCUAAACAGCCUGUUGUUGAGUUUCCUAGUAUCCCUUGAUGGUUUUUUUGAAUGGCUUUGCCUACCCUUUUAUAUAUUCAUAUUUUUUUUACCAUAGUAGGGCUUCCCACUACUGUACAAACCCUCAAAAAAAACCAAAGGAAACUAGUGAUGAACCAUGUUAAUAUUCUCAGUGAUUUUCACAGAAAUGCAAACCCAUAACCCACAUGAGAACCAAGAUGUUUUCCAGUGCAUAUGAAAUCCUAUUAACGUACAUAACCGUGUAAUCACCUAAUGCUAUUGUCAUCAAAGAUAUCCACUGGCUUUCUCCCUUCAUCUAUCUGAACUAUUGAAAUAUAUAUUUAUACUCACAAAUUUGCUUUUAGAUUCACGAAAACACUUCUCUAAACUGAAACACCUCUAGUUCAUCACUCAUUAGCAUGAUUUCCGGUACAACAAGUAAUGACCAAACUAUCAAUAAAUAUCUUGUCAAAUGAAAUUAGUUGCUCCUAAACCAGAGGACAAAGAAAGACCAUGAACAAAAGGCAGGUAUGUAGAUAGCUUGAUACCUGUUUCUUGCUCAAUUUUUUUCCUGUGGAAAAGCAGUUUCCUAAGAGAAUCACUGCUGAAGCUCAGUGUAGCUGCAAAUGGAGGGUCAGUUCAGAUCUUAAUCAUAUCAUGCUAGAAACAAAGACAACAAAGCAAGUACAUCAACAAACCUAAUCGAGGGGAACUUCCAUCGUUAAUAGCACGUGCAGUACUUAUUUCCUGGUCCAUGCGGUCAAGGAUUUGAUUUCGAGCCUUACGUGCAGGCUCUAAACUUUCACAUAUUAUGUCCAAUGGUAUUCCGGCAGGUUUUAUAUCCAGCUGAAUAGCAGUAAUACCUUUCCUUGUCCCUGCAAUUUUGAAGUCCAUGUCACCCAAGUGAUCCUCAAGGCCCUGAAAAAUAUUGAUUAUCAUGUUCACUUAAGGGAUCAAUAUUUACAAUUGACUGAAAUGAUUUUGAAUGAAGUGCAGCAAAACACUCACCAGAAUAUCCGUUAAUAUGCGAUAAUUAGAAAUAUCUCCAGUAGCUGGGUCCACCUGACUUACAAGACCCACUGAAACACCAGCAACAUGUUCUCUUACAGGUAUCCCAGCAUCCAUUAAGGCCAUACUUCCUGUGAGUCACCAUUUAGAAUAGCAGAACAUUAAAGAACACAAAAUAAUAAUUUACUAGCUGUUCAAGGAUACCACAGUAACAAUGAAAAGGCAAUUUACAUUAAAAUUCACACAUCGACCCAAGAACCUAUACGAAAUGAAUAAUAACUAUAUAAAUUAUCUUAUAUAAAGCAUAAUGUCGCUGCGUGUAUGUCAGAAAUGACAAAGGUGGUGCAAAAAACAAGUUCCAUUAUGCUAAAAGGAGAAAACUAGGCAGUCAAUCUAUUUCUUAUCACAGUGAAGUACAUAGUCUUGCAAAUGAAAGAAUCAAAGCAUGCUGCCAACCUUGAGUUAAGUUCCACGAAACAAAAAACUGUAGACCAUAGAGAAAUAUCAAUAAAUAAAUAAAUAAAUAGCAUAGUUCUCACAAAAGCAUCUCCAAGCUACAGCUGAAAUAUGGGAGUUUCAUAAGAAUAGCACCAUUAUAAGAGAAAAAUGGUUUGUGGUAUACCUCCACAUACUGAUGCCAUUGAUGUUGAACCAUCAGAUGCCAUGACUUCUGAAUUUACCCGAACGGCAUAUGGAAAAUCACUUUCUGGAGGAAGCACAGCAAGCAGUGCUUUCUCUGCAAGAGUGCCUGCACAAUGGUAUAAAAUAAAUGGCUGCAAUAUUGGUUUUCAUUUUGCUUCAUCCAAAUCUAAAUCAGGAAAGGAUUAAAUCUAGAAGAACUGAAGGGGAAAAUGACAUUCAGCGUAUCAUAGUACUCUAUCAUACCCAAACAACAGCAAAUUGUCAAGCUUUCAUCCGCUAUUUGAUAGUUCCCAGGCUUUUAUAUGCUAGGAUAAUACUAAUAGACUAUCACAGGUACCACUGUAAGACUAAUUCCAUCACAUUGGUAAGCCUCUAUAUGAACCAAACUAGGUGAGGAUACAGACAUCCAUUUAACUAGAUUUCAGGACAAUUCAUUUAGCAUAUGGGGAAAAAAAGGUGCUACCAUGUCCAACUUCUCGCCGAUUCAGGCCUCCACGUUUGGCAACUUCAUUUAUCGAAAAUGGUGGAAAACUAUAGUGAAGCAUGAAACGCUUUGUUGGAGGGCCAACAAUUGAAUCCAGCCGCUGAGCAUCGCCAGGAGCACCAAGGGUAACUGUACAAAGAACCUACAACCAUAGUACUGGUUAUUUGCAUGUGUAUAUAUAUACAAUAACUUGAUUGAAAAUAUGGUUAAGUCCAUCCAAAUUCAGACAAAUAGGUACUGUGCACUGUAGAGAGAGAGCAAGGGAUAGGGCACACCUGUGUGUCUCCACGUGAAAACAGGGCAGAGCCAUGUAAUACUGGAUAUGUGUUGGAUUCACAAUACAAUGGUCUCACUUCAUCAAGUUGUCUACCAUCUACUCUAAGUCCCUCUUCAAUUAUUCUUUUACGUAUAACCUGCACAAUCGGACACCAAGCCAGUGUCAAUUAGAGUAGCACAGGUGAUUUAAUAAGAUUAUAGCAAUUAAUGAAGUGGCAUCAAGUGGUGUCAUUGUGUCAAGUAUAGCUGGGAGAUGCAGAUCUCAGUCUAUUAAGAACCAUAAACAAAUUGCACAGAUAUUCAGAAAUUCCCAUAAACUAAUGGAUAGCAGUAUCUUCAGAAAUCAUGAUGGAAUAAUUUAGACUAACAUUAUAUCAAUGCAUUUAUUUUAUGCUCAAAGCUAUUUGUUUUAUGUUAAAUUUGGCCGAAGAAAUUAAUGUGGGUUACCUGUUUUCUCACUGUGUCAACUGCCUUAUGAAGAAACUUCAAGCUGUCCUCAUCAUUUUCUUCUUCAAGCUUUGCCUUAACAGUUUGUGUGAUUUUUUCUAAAGCUUCCCCCCGUUCAAACUGAAAUUAAAACACCGCAUAAGUUCAUGCCCUGAAGAGUUAAAAGGCAUUUGCUGGUGGCCCUAAAACAAAUAUGUGUUUAAAGAAACGAUCAACACUGAAUAUUUUGGCUUCUCUUGACCUUGCCAUAUGAUGAAUCAGUGAAGACUUCCUCAAUGGGUGCUUCUGAGAAUGUUCUAAUUUUCUCAUAGGAUGUAUCUGAAAUCAGUGAUAUCUUGUAUUCUUUCUUCUCUUUGCCAGCUCGCUUAGCCAACCUUAUUUGAGGGUCGAUACAUUUAAUUGCCUGAGCAUAAUAAUGAAAACAUGAGAAUACUCUUCCAAUAUAUCAAGAAGCAGAAGACAAAAGAAAAUACCUCAGAGUGUGCAAGCUUCAUGCCUGCCUGAAGAUCCCUCUCAGUUAUUUCACGAGCUUGUACAUCUAUCAUUAACGUUUUAUCCCGUGAACAUGCAUAAAUAAGAUUGAGAUCACUCGAACCUAGCUGCAAAGCACCGUACAACAUACACAAAAUAUGAGUCAACCAGACAAAUUUCUAGUAGUGUAGAAUAUACAUGGUCAAAAAAAUUGAGACGUUCAGAUAUGCUAUGAAAUGGUAGAGAAAUAUCAAGUCCACAAGCAGUAUAAAUGUACAAUAUCAUGGGAACAAUACGUGCACAACUCAGGGUAGAACACAAUGAUUCCUAUGUCAGUAAACUGAUCCAAUUUACCUCAUCCACUGUAGGAUUUAAGAUGAAAUUCCCAUCAAUUCUCCCUACACGUAUUACUCCAAUCGGCCCAUUCCAAGGUAUAUCAGAUAGCAUUAGUGCAGCUGAAGAGGCAUUUGCAGCCAUUACAUCUGGAUCUUGCUUACCAUCUGAUGAAAGAACAUUUACCAUGAUCUAAAAAAGCAGGAUAUAAUGUUAGCGAUGAGUUCUGAUGGUUUAGCCAACUUUGAGAAUUUGACGCGUACUGAGAAGAAUACCUGAACUUCAUGGUAAAAGCCAGGAGGAAACAAUGGUCUUAUUGGUCUAUCAAUUAUACGCCCACACAGGAGUUCUCUUUCCUUAGGAGCACCUUCCCUGCGCAUAUAUGUUGUGGGGAUAACACCUUGAGCAUAUUGUUUCUCUUGAUAAUCAACCUACAGCCACCCAAAAAACGAAAAACUUAGCUGAGGCAAAGAGAUACAAAAAUAGUACUCACAAGAUACAGAAUGAAUGUUCAAUUAAAAAUGCAAGGACAAACAAAACUUCAAUUUUCCAUUUUGAAUGUAACACAAAAGAUCAUUUUCUUUUUGGACAAUGACAUCCCAAAAUUCAGUAUUUUUAUAACUUAUUUAGAAUAAUAAUAAAUAACAAAUUACAUAAAACACCAUACAGGACACAGCUAGUUGACCACAUAACCAGAUGGGGCUUUUGCAACCACUUCAAACUCAAUACACAUCAAACUGACAACUGGCAUCAGUUUUUAGUUUCAUUUUAAUAUUUUUUAAAAAAAAAAGCCAGUUGAGCCCCUAUUUGCACAGUUAAGAACAGUUAUUAAUCAGCAAUAUAAAACAGUCUUGUGAAAUAUGAACCAAAUUCAAUAUAAAACAUCGAAAGCUAAAAUGUGAACAUGGAAUGGGGGUCAAUUACGGCAGUAUAGAACCAUAUCAAAUUGCAAGACUCAUAAGUUGCGGUACAUGAAUUGGGCAUUCCUUGCAGAACUCAACGCUCUCUAAAAACUCACAUCACGAUCACAUUAAAAGAAAAAAUACAGGGGGUUAUCCGUACAGUUAGUGGGAGGAAGUCCCGAACGGGCUCAGAGGACUUGGCGGCGGCGACGGUUGAGAGGACAUGGGUGUCUUCCAUGGAGAUCACCACGGAGCCGUUGGCGAAGCGCGCCAUCUUUCCCGUCUCGAAGGCGAUGGAGCGCCCCCCGAUCUCGAACUCCUCCCGGAAGCUCUCCAGCACCUUCCGACCCGGGACAGGCGGCGCCGCCGCCGCAGCCGCUUCCGCGGCAGCCAGCGGGGCCGCCUCCUCGGCCGCGCCGGAGAGUAAUGCCGCGCGGCCGCCGGGGACGACGAGCGGCGCAGCGGGCAAGCGCAGGCGGGGUCGGCGGCGCGCCAGGGAGCGGAGGGAGGAGGCCACCGCCAUCGACAUGGUGGCGGGCGGCGAGCGGGGAGCAGCAGGAGGGUUUUUGGCUAGGGUUUAAGGGAAAGAAGAAAUGGUGGUUGGUUUGUUUGGCCUCCGUGUUGGCCCCUGGUUGCGGCAGAGUUGUGUUGUGUCGCUGUAAAACAUGGCUCAUAAGUCAGUUGGCGAAACCGCCGCAGCUUUUCUUUGUCUUUCCUGAUCGGGUUAGAAUUUAUAUUUAAUGUUUUAUGUAUGUGUAGAUUGAUUCAAUGUGACCAGAGUCUUGAAAGCUUUUUAUAAACUAAACCAGGCUUUGGUACAUCAUCCAAGAGGAUAGGAAAAGGCUUUUACCGUUGAUGCUCCAAGAGAUUUUUAUAUUUUGUUCCUAAAAUAUAGUGUUUGCUAACUCCUAAAUCAGUAUGAGAAAGAAAAAAAAAGUCAUAUUUAAAAGUUUUUUUAUAUUUAAAUAGGCUACUCACCCCCCUCUAGCCAUAUUAGGACCUUUCAAUGGGCGACAACGGCAACAUCCUAGAGGGACAAGAUCGGGCACGACACGCAUGUGACAUUGACAGCCGCCACGUCCACGGUCCCUGACGUUGGUGUCCACAUCUUCGCCCGGGCGUGGCGCCUAAGGUGAGGAUCGCUAUGUACAAGGUGUCCGGGAUGAUGAUGGCGGUUGCUGCGGCAAUCGAUGCGGCAGUGAAGGACGGUGUGGACAUCAUCUUGCUGUCACUCAGUGACAACAACCUAACCCAGUUCUUCAACAACUCGCUCGCCAUCAGGGCGCUUAGUGUAGAGCACAACGGUGUUUUCGUUGUGCUCAUGAGAGGCAACAGCGGACCCAAUGCGUCUAUGGUGACCAACGUCGCGCCGUGGAUGAUGUGUCUAUGGUGACCAACGUCGCGCCGUGGAUGACCACUGUCGGUGCCACCACGGUGGACCGUCUAUUCUCGACGUACCUCAAUCUUGGAGACGGUACCGAAGGUUGUUUUUUUUGCCCUUGAGGGCAUAUGCCCUCACUCUCCCACCCAUUGGAUUUGCUUUUGAAAAGUGUGCAAACACACAUCUCAAUGUGAAACUCCUUUGAGAUGUGUGUUUGCAUACUUCUCAAAGCAAAUCCAAUAGAUGGGAGAGUGAGGGCACAUGCCCUCAAGGGCAAAAUAAACUUUACCACAUGUCUUGAAGAUGGUUUUUUUCCAUUAAGGGCACAUGCCCUCACUCUCCCACCCAUUAGAUUCGUUUUGAGAAGUGUGCAAACACAUAUCUUAGAAAAAGCAACACCGCCAUGACCCCUCCGUUGCUCAGCUUAUGUACCCGUCGGGUGACGGCCGAGAAGACUCACGAGAAGAUACUAGUGUGCAUGGGAUGCGAAUGUUGCUCGCUGGAGAAAGUCAAGCGGACGAUGUCAGGUCCUGAACUCCGAUGGUCAUGAUGGGCACGCUGGUAUUGUCUUCAUUGACACCGACGGCUGGUCACAAGAGAACGGUGGCGACAGUCUCGUACUCGUGGAUACGUCUUCCCCGCCUAAGCUUGUCCUGAGCCUAAGCGCCGGUGAGCAGCUCAAGCACUACAUCGCGUUGAGUGCAUACCCAGUGGCUUCGUUUAGCUUCCCCUGCACCACGGUGAUUGCUGAAAACCGUGCACCCAUGGUAGCAACAUUCUCGUCAUGGGUGUCGAACCCCAUCGCCCCUCAACUUCUGAAGCCUGACCUCAUCGCGCCAGGGCAGGAUGUGCUAGCUGCAUGGAAAGGUGGCAGCUACAUGAUGGCAUCCAAGACGUCCAUGUCCUGCCCGCACGUCGCCAGCGUUGCGACGCUCAUGAGGAAGAAGCAUACUGGCUGGACUCUGGCCAUGAUGCGAUCGGCGCUGGUCACGAUAGCUGCGACUCUUGACAACACCGGGUGGAACAUCCUCGACAAUGUAGUCUUCUGAGGGCGUGGCACCACGGCCACGGCACCGUUCGCCGUGGGCACUGGGCACAUCCGCCCGGAACUCGCCAUGGACCCAGACCUAGUGUAUGACACCUGCACCAUGGACUACGUUGACUUUAUGUGCGCUCUAACUACACGAGGGAGUAUAUGCACGUGUUCAUGACUAACCCCGGCUUGGCCACGUGCACGAGGCCGCCGCUCCCUGACGGCCCCGCCGACCUCAACUACUCGUCGUUCGUCGUGGUGUUCGGUGGCCAUGGCGGCAUCCUCACGCUCACGCGCAUGGUGACCAAAGGUGUCCGAGGGCAUCGAGAGGUACGCUGUCACCGUCGAGGUGCUGAAGCACGUAGAGGUGACCAUCACGCCGAUGGUCUUGGAGUUCAAGGAGUGCAUGGAGACCAAGACGUACAUGGUGGAUUUUAGAGCUAAAGCCAGGAGGGAUCGGGAGGCAGCGUGGGACUUAGGCCACAUCGUCUGGGAAAGCAAGAAGCAGCAAAUGAGGAGCGCAGUGGCCUUCCACUUUGUUGAUGGUCCUUAAUGUUCACAUUUAACCAUCAACUAAUCAUGGAAAAGGAUCCAAAUGCAACCAACACCUAGACUUAGAGUUUUAUCUGACAGAAUUCCACGAGUUUUGGUGUUUGUCUAUUUCUGCAGGGGGUUAUCAGGAAAUAUGGAAGAAAGGCCCACACGUCGGGUUUACAUAGAGAUAUUAACGUGUCGCGCAAUUUUCUACCAUCUAGAAGACUCUAGAAGCCACGGGAAGGAAGCGGAGGCCGAACGGGGCCAGGCACUGGGUGCCCGCCCAGUUGACGUGGGCGCCCGCCCCCUCCUAGAGUCCAAACAGGACUCUCUUUCGGGAUCAAUCUCCACUGACCUAAAGGAUCAAGGAUAACCGUUCAAUCAAUGUCGGUUAGAUCCAACGGCCCAUAUUCACUUGAAGGGACUAUAAAACCAGACCCCCUGACCCCUGGAGAUCAUACCUCUUCUACAGAAUCAAAGCUAGGGUUUCAAUUCUUCAUCCAAGUAGAGAGGAUCCUCUAGUUCUUCUAGUUCUACCUCUAGUUCAUCUAGUUCUAGUUCUAGUUCAUCUAGUUCUAGUUCUAGUUCUAGUUCCUCUAGUUCUAGUUCUAGUUAGUUCUAGUUGUAAUCUAGAAAAUAGAGAGAGAGAAGAUGAGAGCGGAGGAAGAGGAGCCGGAUCUGUCGGAUCUUCCUCAACAUUGUACUUUUGCAGCAACUGGUUCGUUCUUCAUCGUUCUCCAGGUUCUUCAAUUCAUAAUUCCUGAGUUCUUUAAUUACUUUUAUUUACAUUCAAGUUAUUUAUUGGAUACCCGCUUGCAUCAAGUGCUCUAAUCUUUGAAACAUUAGAGUAGUAAUUAAUAGAUUAGACGCGGUGUUUAGUCUUGCAGUUACCUGGAAUUGCACCCAAUCCUGCGGAUUGUUGUGGUAGCCUUAGGGUAGUGAUAGCCCUAACGGUCGACGUAUUCCACCUCGUUCGGAUCGGUGUUUGUAGGACCGUAGUCAGACCUUCCUAGCCCCCUUCUCAUCUCUUUCUGUGGUUAGUGCUCUGAUGUCCCGAUAUAAAUAAUCUUGAAGUAAUUCUUGAUUCCUAGAUCAACUAGAGAAUUUUCAGAAAACUUCCUCUCUUCCCACCAAAAAUAAUUAUAUAGUUAUUCUUGGGCGAUCUUGAUUCUUAAUUAGUACACUCACGUUCUCUGUGGAAAAUCGAUACUCUGGAAUACUCCCGGGUGAAGGCUACAUCAGUAUCCGUGCGCUUGCGGAUUUUUUCUGUUUGCGUUUAAAAUACCCAACACACUUCGAGUAAGAAACUAGCAGCAUUGGAACAAGAUGAUCGAACGCCUGCUUCGGCCAGUCUGAGAAGCCGACUGCCAUAUAUGUGAAAGUCCCAGUUUGGUUUUGGAUAAUUGAUGAAACCUAUGUGUACUAACCUUUGUCAUGAGUGAAAUAUAAUGAUAGGUUGGUAUACACCAAGUGAUGGAGCUAGAUGAUGGUCAUGGUGAUGGAGGUGACCAAAAGAUGAUAUUCAAGUGCUCCAACUUGGAAAAGAAGAAAGAGAAAAACAAAAUGGGCUCAAGGCAAAGGUAUUUUUAUUAGGGCCAUUUUGUUUUACCACUCAAGACACCUAGCGGGUGUGAGUGGAUUUAGGAUAGAUAAUUGUACUAUAAAGAGGAGAAAUCUUUAAUUGCAAUGGUUAUCUAGUGCCACUAAGUGUGAGUCUCUUCUGCAUAUACCUAGCGCUUAGUGACAUGGUGAGUUGCAUGAGAAAGCCUAUAAAAAUGAUUGUGAAAUGCUAACACACAUGCACAUGGUGGUGUACUCUUGGUGGUGUUGGCACAUUUGCAAAGGAGAAGGUGUUGGAGUUGAUUGCUUUUUGGUGUUCUCCGGACAUUAGGAUGAUUUUUAGAUUGAAAUACUGCUUUGAUCCAUUAUGUCUUGGAUUGAGUAUCCAUAUGGUUUGUAUAGCCCUCUGAGUAAUCUUUCUGAAAUGUCCAAGAUCAUCGAAUUUGGAGUUCGGAGUUAGAAGUUAGCAUCCUAACAAGUUUUGAGAUGGUGUUGAGAAUGCAGGACCGGAAGUUCCGGUUGAACUUCCGGUGCCUGAAUGGAAGUUCCGGUCAGCCUGACAGGAAGUUCCGGUUGGGCUGUGAGAGGUGCGCUCGCGUUUGAGAAAACACUUCCGGUGUCUGACCGAUGUUCCGGUCCUUGACCAGAAGUUUCGGUCCAUAACCAGAAGUUUCAGUCCAUGAAAGGAAGUCCGCAUAAGAGUCUUUGCAAAUGGCCUCGCGUGUCAGGAUUCACUUCCGGUCUCUAACUGGAAGUUCUGGUGGAACUUCUGAUGGGUUCGAGUCUCUCACAACGGUCAGAUCUGCUUGGACCGAGGCUCAACGGUUAGAUCUGGUUGGACUGGAAGUUCCGGUCCGAGGCACCAGAACUUCCGGUGCCACACUAUAAGUACUCGUUUCCUUCGUUUUUGACGAGGCAACUCAAAUAGAACACAUUUUUUGACUUUCAUUGGCUCUUCUAAAGAGUAGAGAAAGCUCUCCCUUCCUCCUCUCUCACUCCCUAAGAUUUGUGCUCCAUUCAAGUGAGAGAUUGAGCUCAAGUGACAGAUCUGAGAGCUUCAAGAGCAUCUCCUUCCUCUCCUCUCCUUCUCCAUAGCUUGGUGCUCAUUGGUGAGAGGAUUUGGGGAAACCCUAGUGUUGUGCUUUUGUGAUUUCAAUCUUGUGGCACUGGGUGGUGAUUGCAAUUGUAGAUUUCUUAUUACUCUUGGUGAUUGCCGUCACCUAGACGGUUGUGGAUUUGUUGAUUGGCGAGGGGAUUUGGUGAUUGUGUCCACCCCCAAUCAAGGUGAUAUUUGUGAGGGGUUCUUGGGCUUAUUUCCCAGCGGAGUGCCAAAAGCCACUCUAGUGGAUUGCUCGUGUCAUUGAGUUAUCUCACUUGUGGAUCGGUUCUUGCGGUGUCCUAGUGAGGACGAGGUUCGUGCUACACCUCUUAGCCGCCGAACCACCAAGUGUUGGUCGACACAACGGGGACGUAGCAUGCCGGCAAACACGUGAACCUCGGGAGAAAAAUUGGUGUCUCAAUUGUGUUUGAAUGACAUUCUCCCGGUGAUUGAUUGUUCAUAUAUUGGUGAUUGGUUCAUCCCCCACACGACCGUAUAAAUAUCUCAUCCUCUUCAUUUACUUACCGCGAAAUAGUGUAAUUAGUUUAGUUGCUUACUUUGUCUUGUGUAGCAUAGUUCUCUAUUGUAGCUUGUAGUGUCAUAGCUCUUGUGUGCCCAGUGUUUAUAUCAACUAGAAUUGUUGGAUAGGUGGCUUGCAAACACCCCAUUAGAGCUAGAACAAAAAGCUUCGCUUUGUUAUUUACUAACCUCUUGCUCUAGUGAGUUUGUAGAAUUUUUAAAUAGGCUAUUCACCCCCCCCUCUAGCCAUAUUAGGACCUUUCAGUAUGUCAUGUCAAACUAAAGCGCCCUGUCCUCCAUCCAGUUAUGUUCUGUGGUAAUUAGGUGACUUCCUCUGAUCAUGGCCGUGAAGUCCUAUGGUAGUUAGGUGGCUACCUCCGAUCACCGUCGUGAAGGUGGCUACCACUUGUUGUUAUUUUUCCGUUCUCUAUCUAUUGUUCACCCCAUGUACCUCUGAGCUUGUCUUCUCUUAUGUCCUCCUGUUAUGCAAUGCAAUGUUCGUAGCCUUGGCCAGUCAGACAAGUGGGAUGGUGAUGUUGUGCACGAUACCAUUUCAAUCUCUCAUCCUCACAUCGUUUGCUUACAUACAACAAUCAAAUCUCAAUUCUAGCACUGCCUCAGAUCACCGCCCGCAGCUCGCCGCAGCCACACCAUUGUAGUAUGGUCUCGUCGUAGCCACACCAUUGAAUGGUCGUACUACUACUGCCAACUUUGGCAUUGCCAUGUCGUGCUUCCAGUCUAGGACAUAUGAGGUGGGUAGAGGUGUGGAGAACAAGCAGGAUGAGAGUUAGACCAGGGAGAAGGCACAUAGAGGAAUGAGUUUUUGUGGUCGUAGCACCCGCAUGGGAUCAACAUCAACAAGAGACAUGUUCUGUUGGAUUUAUUUUGGGCUAAGCCCAUUUAGAUUUAAUAAAUCAAUAAACUCUAUGAUAUGUAAUUAUGGAUAAUAUGAGUUGUAUUGAAUUGGAAUUUCAAGAGUCCUUGACGUCGUCACCGCUGGCCGGGACAGGCAGGGCGUGGGCGAGGCGAGGUGAGGCGAGCCAGGCAGGCAGGCAUGCAGUGUGGGGGUGUGAUGUGUUAAUUUUUAGCACUCACUAAUUAUAGGAGUUUUAACUCCAAGUUAAACUCAUGAGAUGUUUGUCUCUUCAGCUGCCAUCCCUUCCUUUCCUCUCUCUCUCUCCUGACGCAAGGCUAUAAAGAGGACAGGAACCUUUGGUCUUGGACACACAACACACAACUCAGAACACUAUCUAGCAGCAAAGAAGGAAUCCCCAUCUCGUAACUUCGCGCGCAUGGAGGAGCGAGAGGGCAGGUGCCUCAGAAACCCUUGCCGUUCGAGAUCUUACACGGGGGAUCAUCAAUUAGGUUUUUGGGUAGCGUCUACGGGAUUGCCCAAUCCACCUUCAUUGUUUGUCUUCCUCAAGCUGAUACAGGCAGAUUUCUACUUCUCGGUGGAAAGGUCAUCUUCAUCCUUUACAUCAUGGAAGUUGGUCAUGGAUCAGGAUCCUCAGAGCGCAAGGAAAGGUAUGAUCUGUUCAUCUGCCUGUUUCGUCUUCCUAUCCGUACAUGUUGCAAUAGUGUAUUCAUGUUGUUGUGCAUACUAUCCUGGAUAUGUUUCAUAUGUUCUGUCAUGUCUUUUAUGUUUCUAUCUUAUAUGUUUCUACUGUAAAUCUAUGUCAUGUCUGCUUGUUUUGUUGGUUAAGUCAAAAUGUUUCAUAUGUUGUUGUCUAUAUGUUUUAGUAGUGGUUCGGUCACGUCUUUUGAUAUACUAUUUCACAUAUGUUUUAGUAGUUCUAUUUUGUCAUUUAACAUGUAGUCUCUUGUUUAUUGUUGUUUUGAAAUACAUGUCUUGACUUGUUAUUAUGUUUCAUAUAUUAUACUUUUAUAUUUUUAAUAAUCACAUGUUCUAUAUGUUCAUAGAUCACAUGUUCCAUAUUGCUAUGAACAUGUUUAAUAUUAUGAUUUCUAUGAUUAAUUAUAUUACAUAUGUCAUCAUCCUAAUGUUGCUUUAUGGAAUUAAAAUGAUAUGAAAAUUGCCUAAUUAUCUAACAUGUUCUAUAGCGCAGCAUCGAUUUCUCGUAGCAUGGGCCAAAGCCAUCAAAGACAGCCCAUUAAUUGGCUUAAUUGGCGUUGUACGUGCCCUUGACGUCGGGAAAUGCAAGGCCUUCCUGCCUGGUCCAACACCUGGGUGGGGUGACUGCUGACGCUACCGGUGGAAUACCAUCUAUCCAUCUCUUGUUUAGGAUUAGUACAGUUAUGCAGAUAUACUUGUAGAGACUAGAGAAAAGCAUGAGGCCCAAAAUAUUUUAUUGAAGAAGAUGUCAGCAUCCUCAUCACUAGGAUUCUUCUCACCAGUGCGACAAGUUUCCUUCGUUUUCACUUUUCAGAUCAACACGAUACACCUAUCGUUUCAGCAAAUUAUGGCCCAGGCAAGUUUUUAUUUGUAAAGCCUGCUACUGAUUCUCGCUCUUUCAAGAAUUCUAUGAUGAAGGUGCAUUUGGCACAAAUUAUUUGAAUUAUGCAGUUGACAGCCUAUCAGUUUGCACUUUGCUGGGCUAAAUUCAUCCUUACAUUGAAGAAAUUAGAGUGCCUCUGCAAUGCAGAUGAAUCAUUUGGUAUCCCACAUGCACAGAACAUUUUGAGGCCUGCAGCCAACUUGCAAUUGCAACAAGGUAAAGUUUAUUUUGCUCUUGAGGGCAUGUGCCUUCACUCUCCCACCCAUUGGAUUUGCUUUGAGAAAUGUGCAAACAUACAUCUCAAUGCGAAAUUGAUUUUAGAUGUGUCUUUGCACAUUUCUUAAAGCGAAUCUAAUGGGUGGGAGUAUGAGGGCAUAUGCCCUUAAGGGCAAAAAACCGCCUUCAUUGCAACAAGUGUUGUGUUAUACUUACUAGCAAACAUGACUGUGCAUUGUGAGUCUAUUACGCCUCAGAGUUCUCCGGAAAUGGGCUUUGGUGCUCUGCGGACGUCGGUGUCUUGAGAUCGCUAUCAGAGUAUGAUUAUGAUGAUGCCUACCCCUUCUAGCUGUUGGAAAGAAAAAGGCAUGGAGAGCCCUCUGUCUGAAUAGCAUCGCUCUGUGGACGUCGGUGUCUUGAGAUCACUGUUAGAGUAUGAUGAUGCCUACCCGUUGUAGUUGUUGGAAAGAAAAAGGCAUGGAGAGCCCUCUAUCAGGACAGCAUUGAUCAAACAGGUGAAAUACCAUCACUGAAAAAAUCACCCGUUGCUCAAAACUAGGGCUGAGUUUCCAAAAAAAAUACAAAAAAAUUCAGAUUCCCCGUUACAUCGAAUCUUGUGUUGCAUGCAUGGAGCAUUAAAUAUAGAUAAAAAUAAUAACUAAUUGCAUACUUUGUCUGUAAUUUGUGAGAUGAAUCAAUUAGUCUAUGAUUGGACAAUAUUUGUUAAAUACAAACGAAGUGCUAGAGUGUCUAUUUUGCAAAAAAAUUUGGAACUAAACAAGACCUAGAGUGGCAUUUGACGAUUUGGAGCCGCACCCCGCACCCUUCUUCCUCCUAAGCGUCUAGUAGGGGCAGUGCCGCCUGGCCGAGCGUCCACGUUGUUGUGCUCAGUGUCCACGCGCUCGCCACCAUGCACGAGCUGCCUGUGCCCUCCCCUUGCGAUUUCGUCGACGUGGUGGAGCUAGAUCCAAUAAUGGAUUAAUUAGACUCAAAAGAUUCGUCUCGCAAAUUACUUUUUAGCUUUGUUUUAGUUUCGUAUAUAGUCUACAUUUAGUACUUCAUGCAUGUGUCUAAACAUUCGAUGUGACGGACGGUAAACUUUUACCACCCGUAACAAACAGGCCCUUAGGUCAAGUCCCAUAGCAGAAUAUAUAUCUGCAGAAAUGCUAUAUGACACAUAUGUGUUUUGUUGUUUGGUGGCACACGAAUUUUCUAGUCGUUGAAUGAAAAAUCCACGACGGUCGUUGUGUCUGUGCUCUGUUCGCGCCACACAUGCACUGUUGCACAUCAUGGUUGUAGUAUUCCCCAUUUUGUCCUAGGGCCAAUCAUUCAACCCUGACGGUAGAGGCGGAUCUAUAUAGUGAACUGUGGGUACUUUUGCACUCAUAAAAAUUAAAAAAACAAUGGUAAAAGCCUAUACACCCAUAAGGUAAGUGCAACUUUCUUAAAUUAGCUUUAGCUCUGCCACUGCCCGACGAUCCAUCACUAGGACUAAGAGAUGAGAAUUUCUGAGACCACAUCACUAGUCUCGAGGGGAUGUAUGGUUGCUAGCCAUAUUGUACCACAACUGACUUUAGACAAGUGUGGCAAGCCAAAAAAAAGUAUGGCUAGCAAAUUGGUUGCCACACUUUGCCAUGUCUAAAGGUAUGUUGCCAUACUUUUUAACUCUAUGACAUAUGGAGCGCAAAAGAAUUAUGUCUAAAUUUAGUUGUCAACCAAACACUUGCCAAUUUAAUCAAACUUGUCUAAGAUAAAAUAUGGCAACUUAUGACUAGCAACCAAACAGCCUCUCAAUCUGGCCGUCCGCUGCUACUACCUGCUAGUAUAUAAUCCAAUUCCCAACUCCUAAGUGUCUAAGUAGUCCAGAGAAAUCAACGUACUGAUUGUAUCAACGCUUUACAAAUGCUUGAAUGAUUAAUAUCUCUAUAUAUUUUUUAUAUAUACUAGGUUAAUGCCCGUACAUUGUUACGGGUUUUAAAAUUCACAUACUUUAUGUUUCUUUAUUGUUAUUUUAUUUUUUCUGUCUAUAUUGUUUUCUUUUUUAUUUGUUUUCAGUUUUCAUUUUUUGAUUUUAUUUUAUUUCCUGUCCUUUCCUUAUUCUUUUAUUGUUUUCAUUUUACCUUUUAUUUUCUUUUUCUUUUGGUUUUAUUUUUAUUGUUCUUCCUAGCUUCUAUUUGUUUUUCUUUUUUCUUUUUAGGUUUUCUAUGUUUCUUUAUUCUUAUUUUAUAUUUUAAUUCCUUUGAAUCUUCUUUUUAUCCUCAUUUAAAUUAUUCAUUUAUUUUAUUUGCUCUAUGCUCUUUUUAUCAUUUGUUAAUCAUGUUUGUUUUUAUAUUUUUAUUCAUAGUAAUUUUAUUUUUUUAUUUUUUAUUUUCUAUAUAUAUGCGAUGUUUAUGUAGUAUAUUUAGUAUUCUAUAUUGUGUUAUGUCAUAUUUAUGUAGUAUAUAUGUGAUGUUCUAUGAUGUUUCUUAUAGUGUUCACUUAGUAUACAUGUAAUCUAUAAUAGAUGUGAUGUUCUAUAAUAUAUUUAAUGAUGUUUUAUAAUGUAUUUAGUGAUGUUAAUAUUCUAUAAAUAUAUUUACGAUAUUUGAAAAGUAACCCUUUGACAUUAUUUGAAAAUUUUCUCCAUUUUAUGUUUUUAUUUUUUUAUACUUUUUACUCUAGAUUUUAUUAUUAUUUUUAUCUAUGUCAUGUAUUUAUUUAUUUUUAUGUAUAUUGUAAUAUUAGUUUUAUAAACCUAAAACCAAAAUACUAUUCUUCUAAAUCGAUAACAUUUUUUACGAAGACAGAAUAUUAUCUGUUGAACCUAGAAUAUUGUCUCUACUUAAUAAAAGAAAACAUUUUAUCUUUAUAAGAUAAAUAUUCAUUAAUAAAAUUUUAUCUAAAUAUAUCCAUGUGUGAUUUUGUUUUGAAGGAUUUGUUAUAAGAAAUUUAAUGGUGCAAUCGGAAUUUAAUUUAUAUCUUUGGUAUAUGAGUUAUGUCUUUUUUUAAUUCGCUAAAACAAUUUUGCAUGCAUAGGUGAGUGGGGCCUAGGUUGAUGGGAUAGCGUGUCAUCGCGCAGUAAAAAAGACCACCAAAGGUAUGAGAGUUGUGGACGAGUCCUCUCCAUAUUUUUUAAUUGUAGAGAUAAAUAUUUAUUAAUAAAAUUUUAUCUAAUAUAUUCAUGUGUGAUCUUGUUUUGAAGGUUUUGUUAUAAGAAAUUUAAUGAUGCAAUCGGAAUUUAAUUAUAUCUUCAGUUUAAGAGUUAUGAUUUUUUUAAUUCGCUAAAACAAUUUUGCAGGCAUCGGUGAGUGGGGCCUCGGUUGAUGGGAUAGCCUAUCAUGGCACACGAAAAGGGAAGUUGUGGCUUCACUAUGAGUGUGGUAGACGUGUCCUCUUCAUAAUUUUUAGUUGUAGAGAUAAAUGAUGAUCCAUAGCAUUAUUUGUGUGUCCAUUGCAAACGGCUUUGCUAUAAUCAGUUGAGUAUACAUUGUUUAGAGAUAAACGUUAUUGCAGUUUAUAGAUAAUCGGGAUAUUUUGGUUGAUUGAUCUAGCAUAAUUAUAGCUUUUCACUUGUUAUUAUGAUUUUUUUUCAAAAAAAUGUCAACAAUAUGUCAAAAAACAUACAUUGUAGAAGAGUUGAUAGAAUCACAGAGAUAAUUUAUUGGUAAUUUUUAGAGUAAUAACAUGUGCACUUCAAAAAAAUCUAUUUAUUGUUGUCAUGAUCUUUUUUUUUUGUUUGUUUGUUGUGAGCCCAUCUGCUCAUCCCCCUUUCUUCGUUCGCCUCGCCAAGGCCUUCGUCAGCCGCCGAAGACCAAGGUACGACGCGGGGCCCACUUUGUGUGGGUUGGGCCAUGGUAGAGGACGUUGGACGUGUUUCACACAGUUCCGAUCGAGCACUUGACAGAAUGCCCUUUUCAAUUAACGUCCUCAUUUUUCGGUGGUAUUUUACAUAAUGGAGUUCUUUCAACGAUAUUAUUCGAUUCUUGCGGUCUUCUAAUGUUAUAUAGAAAUAUUUCCCCCAAAACACAUAAAACUGAAAAUGACCCUGGAACAUGCAGCACCAUUUAGAAGAAUACAUUUUUUUAGAAAGAAAUCAAUCCAGUGAAAUUUUAAAAUAUAAGUAUUAUCUAGCCAAGUAUGUAAAACUUCCAUGAGAUUUAAAUUCCAUGGGUCGUUUGGAUCCUCUUAUUUGUGAGGAAUUGAAAUCUAUUUAUCGGGUUAGGCUAUUUGUCUUGGAUUUGUUCCACAACUUUUUCAAAUUCAUAUAUAAAUCUAUCUCAAAUUCAUAGGGUGAGAGAUAAAAAUUGAUUCUAUAGAUCACCAUGCUAUAUUUCAACUCUCAAAGUUAUAACACGGUCUUCAACUCACUUCUCUAUAGUACAAAUGCAACAUAUAAGUAUUUUCAUUGUAUGGUAACAAUAUACAAAUAUAUUUCAUAUACAACCAUGUUAGCUUAACUAAUCUAUACCUAACUUAUAAUUACUAUUAUUAGAAUAAAUUCAAUUGCAAGAAUCCAAACGGACAUGAAAAUAGAGAGCAUGUAUUAAUGGUCCAUAUCGUACGUAAUCUUCUCUGAAUUUUUUUGAGCUCAUUUCGUUGGAACCAAAUUCAUAAUUUAAAUCCUUGAUCAAUGAAACUUGCCAAACCCAUUCCUCUUCGUAAGGCUGAAUUCUUAUUCUUCCUCUCCAUUUUUGGCCCAACAGCAGGCUCAACUGAUGUGCAUCUUUUUCUUCUCUGUUUGGGAAAAGUUCAUUUUACCUCCCACGGGCCACAACCGAGUCCAGGUUUCCUCUUCGAACUUCAAAAUCAGAGAUCUUGCCUACUAACUCUAAAAACUUUUAAAUUGCCGUUAAUUAGAUAAUGUUUUCAAAUCGUUUUCCUUAAUUUUUUUAUUAUAUAUUUAAAAAAUCGGGUAACAAUUUUAUAGCUAGCUAGCUAGCUAUAAGUCUAAAAUUGCAUGCUUCUUUUUGGACAAGCUCAAAACCCUAGGAUUGCAAACUUUACCGAACGGAGUGAGUAUUUAUGAAACAUUAUUUUGAGAAAAUAAUCUAAAUCCAAAUGUUAUAUAAUAAAAAGAAAUUGCACGUGUCUUCUUAGUUAUAUACUCCAUGACACGACACGACAAACGCAACAAGACAAAUGUGUAUAUAUGACCAUAAUAACAAAGAUAAUUCAUAUUUGCACGUUGUCCUAAGAUAAGUAUUGUUUUUGCUUCUCAAUCAAUUAGAUAUUUUAACUUUGACCAAAUAUAAGAAAAUAAUAAUAAUUGUAGUACAUACUUAGUGUAUUAUUAGAUAGAUCAUUGAAGUUAUUUUUAUAAUAAAAUUUUAGAAACACAACUAUUAAUAAUAUUAAUCUAGUUAAAUUUUAAAAAGUACCAUAGCUUAUGUUAAGACGGAUGGAGUAUAUAGGAGAGGUACACGCAUGCUUCUUGAGACAAGACAGGUCAAAGAAAGAUUCAAAGUUGACUCCAUACAUGAACAAGAAAAUCAAAAGACCGUAACAAAACUUUGUUAAUUCUCACCACCAGGUACAUAUAAAUUUUGCAUUGAUCGAUCAUGCCAAUUAUACAUAUAUAUCAUCUCGCUCGCUCUGGCUCACUUUGCCGGCUUAAAUGACAGGAGACUUAUUCCGUCCAUCCAGUCCCUCUCGUGCACCCUCGCCUCGUAGUUGGCAUGCUUGCCGUCGCUGGUGGAUGAUGCGUCGAUGACGAGGCGGAAGUCUAUGCCUAUACUCAUCAUCAUCUCGCCGCCGACGACCUUGUCGAACUUGAGCCCGUCCUUGGCCUGCUUCACGUGCUCCGCGACCGCCCACCUGCCGAUGUACUGGACGUGCCCCUCGCUGAGGUCUACAGGGUACCACACACCGAAGGUUUGAGCCAUGGCGGGUGUUGCCAUCGCAACAAUGUGAAUGGCAACGAUGGCGAUGCCCAAAACUCCGAGGAGGACGGCGGCCCUCAUGGCAGGCUUGGUGGUCGCAAGUCCGUGAAGAAGCAAUUGGUUUUGGUUUGCCGUGGAGUAGUGACCUAUUAGGAAGAUGACUAGGUGCCACUUAAAUAGUAGCUUUUGGCCAGGACGCAUUGCCGUCCAGAUACAAUUUGGAACAGCUUGAUUAUUGGGUUAUUAGGUAACAGAAUCAGCUCUUAAUUACCAUAUAGAGUAUAAUCAUCUAAUCUAGUAGAAAUUGACUGGCGUCAUCUUUGGGAUCCGUUCCAAUUCCUUUUUUUUAUUUAUCUGUGUGUAUUUGACGGUACGCAAAAUCAAUCUCCAGCAAUAACUUUUCUUUCCAAAAUAUUCUUUUGGUGAUUAAUUACAAAAUCAUAAUCUCCUGCAAAUUAAAUGCUUCUAAAUUCAUUCAAACCCAAUGACGUCAAUUUUGUACUGCAAUAAGAGCGAGUUUGGACAUUCAAACAUUGCCUUAAUUAUUAUGUUAGAGAGCGGCUUGCAACGUUGAUCACAUGUAUUUAGGACUUAAUUAAUUCUUUCAAUGAUGUGUAAGCUGGACGAAAAACUCGAAGCUCGUUAGCUCGCUCGACUCAUGGUUGGCUCGACUCAGCUCAUCUUGGCUCAUUAUCAUAAUGAGCUGAGCCGAGCCAAGAUUUUAGCUCGUUAGCUAUUACGAGCCAACUCGAGUUAGCUCGCGAGCCAAACGAGCUAUACUUUCAGAGAAAAAGUCAUUAUAAUUUAUAUUAGUCUUGUAUUACUUCAUGUCUUACACUUUACAAAUGAUUGAUAUGUUAGCUCAUAUGAGUAUUUUGUUCGACUUUAAACUAUUGAAUCUAUUAUUUUUAAAUUAUUAAGUUUUAGAUAAUAUAAAUAUUUGUGUACUUGACUCAUGAGCUUAAUAAGCUGGCUCGAGUUAAACAAACCAGCUCGCCUCGAUAUCUAGCCUUAAUGAUGCGACAUGUUUGUCGAUAGUGAUGUGAAUGUAGCCGGACUUCCUGGAUCAUGGAUCAUAAGGCCAGUCUCAAUGGGCAUUUCCGUAGACUGUCAUGCACAUUUAAUACAUUGACACAUCAGCACAGAAGGCAUUUUUGCAUGAAAUGGGGAGGAAAGAGGGGGAAAUCGUUUCACCAUGGUGAAACGACUCCGCGUCGUUUCCCAGGCCUCGGUAACUCCGUGAAACGGCCAUUGAGCCCGAUUUUUGUUUCAUCCUCGAUCCCGUGCGCAGAGGCAACGACGAGCUCGCCAUUCCCGCGCGCGCUCCUCCCGCGUUUCAGGGCCUUCUUCCCGCGCGGCGCCAGAUCGAGCAGCCAUGGAUCGAGCAGCUAUUCUCGCGCGGCGCCAGAUCGAGCAGCCAUGGAUCCGCCACCGGUGUCCGAUUCACGACGGCGCGGAGGCGGCAGAGGAGGCAAGCCGCGCUCGGGGAAGCAGCUUGGCCUCAAGAGACCGGCGGCGCCUGCUCCAUCCUCGCGUCCAAGUUCACCUUCACCUCCGCUUUCGACCCCGCUGCCGGCGACUUUGAAUCCAAUUAUUUGUUUUAUUUUGUUUUGAAAACUGUGCAAAUGAAAUGCUCCAUUGAGAAGGUUAGUUUCAAUCAUUGUUUCAUCUUGCUACACAUGACGUGGCGUAUUGGAAACAGUGAAGUGAAACUCCUCAUUGAGAAUGACCUAAUGGUCCUCGCGCAUGCCUAGCUUAAGAGAAAAUUAGAGAUAUAAAACACUAAUGACGCGCUUUGUAAAAAAUACAUAUAUUUAGAUUAAAAAAUACAUAAAAUAUAUCAAAUGUCAUAAAAGGCUAAUAUUUGAGUUAUUUUUGUGAAAACGAUGUUUGUAUAUUUGUAUAACGCAUUGUUUGGUGUCUGAUAUGUGUAGUUUUCUUUACACAAACAUAGGACUCGACCGUUGCGUUCUCUGCCCAGAUUACAAAACUUCUCCUCGGCUCGCCGCUCCCGUCCCCCAUCCCUACCCACGCUUCCUACCCCUCCGCGCCGCUCCUCCAGGCUCCAGACAUGGCGAUCGCCACCGAGUCGCGCGGCAGCGAGGGCAGGGUAUACUACUGCUCCCUCUCCCCACCCCCCCCCCCUCCCCACCCCCCCCCCCACCCCCCGGGUCGGAUCCGCCCGCGGAUGAUUUUUGUGUGUAGCGGUUGGUUCGUUCGAAUCUGGGGGACUUCCCCCCGUCUCUUUCACCCCAGGACCCAACAGACGUUUCUUAUUUUCCUGCGUGUGACAUUAAUAUACCGUUGCUUUAUUAGCUGUGCGCAGUCCAUUUUCUCAAUAUCCUUUUGCAGAGUGAUGAUUAGGGUUUGACCUUUAUUUAUUGAAAAGCAUUGGCAUCCCUUUUGGUUGGCUGGUUACACCUUGCGCCGGUGAAGUAUAAUAUGGGGUUUACCAGAUCCUUCGCUUGGGAUUCUAACUCUUCAUUCUGUUCCUGUCUGGUUAUCCAUGAACUUCACUCCAUUUGAGUGAUUUUUCCUGUGUUCUAAACGAGGGUUCAUGACUGAUUAAGCUUCUAAUGAUGGUUUCCAGCUUCAGGGUACUGUGUUAGUGCUUGCGAGCUUGGUUAGUAAACGAGGAUUCAUGGCUGAUUUUGCCUCUAACUAUCAUAAUGGUUUGCGCCUUCAGGGCACUGUGGUAGUGCUUGCAAGCUUGGUAGCUGGCUGCAGUGUAAUGGAAAUGUAAUGAUGCAUUUUGUUUUCAGUUUUUGCAGGCUUCAGCCCACGCAAACGAGGAUAAGCGGUGGGUGCUGUCUGAUUUUGAGAUUGGGAAACCUCUUGGGAGGGGCAAGUUUGGUCAUGUUUAUCUGGCCAGAGAAAAGAGGGUAAAUAACAUGUUUAAGCUUAUUUGCACUGACUAUUGUGAGUCUCUAACUUUACUGAAUGAUGUACUGAACCGUGAUUGCUUGGAGUUGACUACUUCAGCAUUGUACAAUGUCAGCAAAUAUACUACUGUAACUAAUAUUAAUUGUCAGGGAAUAUUGCACUGGUUAUUUUUAGUCUCUAGCUUAGCUGAAUAGGUACUGUACCAAGAUUGCUGUGAUUUGACUAAUUCAGUAUUGUACCCUAUUUCGUAUCUACUAACUGAUUUUUUUUUGUAUUAUUAUACAGUCAGCAACAAUACUACUGUAACUAAUGCUAUAGUCAGCAAAUAUACUACUGUAACUAACAAUUGUUGAAUGACAACGCUGGAAAUGUCUUACAGAGUGUUUUUUCCGUUUAUGCUUUAGUUAUUCAUCCCAGUGAGCAGCGCAAGUUUGGCAUUGUUUAUCUGGCCUGAGAAAAGAGGAUAAAUAACAUGUUUAAGCUUUCUUUUGGUUAGUUGGACUGCUUAGUCUAUAACUUCAUUGAAUGAUUUACUGUACUGUGAUUGCUGGGAAUAGACUACUUCAGUAUUCUACAUUGUCUGUACUUACUAAAUUAACUUUUUAUAUUAUGGUAUACUCAGCAAAUAUACUAUUGUAACUGAUGUUAGUUGUCAGGAAAUAUUGCACUGAUUAUUUUUAGUCUCUAGCUUAGCUGAAUAGUUACUGCACCAAGAUUGCUGGGAUUUGACUAAUUCAGUAUUGUACCCUGUUUCGUAUCUACUAACUGAACUUUUCUAUAUUAUUGUACAGUCAGCAACUAUACUACUGUAACUAAUGCUAUAGUCAGCAAAUAUACUAUUAAACAUGUUAAAUGACAUUGCUGAAAACAUCUUACAGAGUGUUUUCUGUUUAUGCUUUAGUUAAUCAUCCUAGCAAGCAGCUAGGGCUUACAGUACGUCUUUUUGUGGAAACAGAGCAGUCAAGUUGUGGCUCUGAAAGUGCUUUUCAAGAGCCAACUCAAGCAAUCACAGGUCGAGCAUCAGCUGCGACGUGAAGUGGAGAUUCAGAGUCAUCUUCGCCAUCCUAAUAUUCUUCGCCUGUAUGGGUACUUCUAUGAUCAGGUAAAAACAUAUCCACAUUUCUAAUAUAGAGUUACCAUAGCUUCAUUUAUAUGGCAACAGACAUCAUCAUUUCUCUGUCAUGUGGAAUUCUCAGAGCCGGGUUUACCUAAUCCUGGAAUAUGCUGCCAAGGGUGAACUGUACAAGGAACUGACAAUGUGCAAACAUUUUUCUGAAAGACGUUCAGCAACUGUGAGUUGAUGCUCUAUACAUGUACUUGGUGAAUUUAUCUGCAGCUCAUUUUUCACCAAAAUAGUAAUGAAGUUUCCUUUUAUUUUUAGUAUAUUGCAUCAUUAGCUAGAGCUCUGAUCUACCUUCAUGGAAAGCAUGUCAUCCACCGGGACAUUAAACCAGAAAAUCUUUUGGUUGGAGCCCAGGUAUACUUGCAUUGUGUUUUUUGGUAUCCCUGAUCUGGAAGACUGGAACUCUAUGCUUACUACAUUGUUGUAUGUUUCCUUGGAACAGGGUGAGAUCAAAAUCGCCGACUUUGGCUGGUCCGUGCACACCUUCAACAGAAGACGGACUAUGUGCGGAACUCUGGAUUACCUGCCACCUGAAAUGGGUACUUUGCUAACCAUUUUCCUCCAGUUAUCAACUAGUUCUUGAAAAUUCCCACAGCUGUUCCAGUUCUCUAUUGGCCUAUCUGCUUUCCUUGGCUCUAAAUCCUGUUGUGAUUUGUCCAGUGGAGAAGACAGAACAUGAUUACCAUGUAGACAUAUGGAGCUUGGGUAUUCUGUGCUAUGAAUUCCUUUACGGGGUCCCACCUUUCGAAGCUAAGGAGCACUCAGAAACAUACAGAAGGUAACUCCACAACUCUGGGAUCUUAGUAUGCGGCAAUUUUGUCCCUAAUUUGCCCAUGUGAGUUCUAGAUUAUUUCUUGUGAUUUUGAGCUAUGCUCUGUUAAUUGUGAGGAGACUUUAGAACUUGCAUAUAGUGCUACUGUAGCAAAGAGAAUGCACUAUAUUGACCACCAUAGCUCCACAUGUUUUUAUAUCCAUGUUUUUUUUCUACCUAUCAUUAGUAUAUACGUAAUAGCAUAGUGAAUAUCUAUCCUUGUGGUUGUGAAACUCGAGUCUUUGACUUGCUUGUUUGUGGCUUUGAAAACAACUGCUGUUUCUAAAAGCAACUAUGGGAUCUUAGUAUGCAGCGAUUUUGUCCCUAACCUGCCCAUGUGAGUUCUCGAUUAUUUCUUGCAACUUUUGAGCUAUGCUCUGAUAAUUGGUGAGGAAACUUUUGAACUUGCAUAUAGUGCUACUGUAGCAAAGAGGGAAGCAUAUUGAUCACCAUAGCUCCACAUGUUUUAGAUCCAUGAAUAUUUUUCUAUCUAUCAUUAGUAUGUAUAGCAUAGUGCCAUAGUGAAUAUCUAUCCUUGUGAUCAUGAAACUCGAGAGCAACUAUUGUUUCUGAAUCUGUCGUUUGUCUCUAACUUGCUCAUAUGAGUUCUAGAUUAUUUCUUGCGACUUUUGAGCUGUGCUCUGAUAAUUGGUGAGGAAACUUUUGAAAUUGCAUAUAGUGCUAGUGUAGCAAAGAGGAAGCACUAUAUUGAUCACCACAGCUUCACAUAUUUUCAAUCCAUGAAUUCUUUCUAUCUACCAAUAGUCUAUAUGUAUAGUCAAUAUCUAUCCUCAUGGUCAUGAAGCUCAGAGAGCAACUGUUGUUUCUGAAUCUGUCGUCGUUUUUACUUGGAUACAGGAUAGUGAAAGUGGACUUGAAGUUCCCACUGAAACCAUUCGUUUCACCUGCAGCGAAGGAUUUAAUUUCUCAGGUAAGAAGUCUUCAGUUUUUCCCUUGUCUCGUAAAAAAAAUGGUUAUUCAGAUUCAGAUAGUCAUAUCCCAGAACCUCAUCAAUUGUUGUACACAGAUGCUGGUCAAGAACUCGGCGCAGCGGCUGCCUCUCCACAAGGUUCUUGAGCACCCGUGGAUCGUCCAGAACGCUGAUCCUUCCGGUGUGUACAGAGGGUAGAACUGCCACCGGCUGAAUACUGCCUCUCCUUCACUCUCCCCAAUUCGAGGGGAUUGCGCAGACACAUGGAAUGCCACAAGGAAUCAGCUCAUGCGCCCGGGCCUUGCUGGAUGUGUGUACAGAGGGUAGAACCACCACCAGCUGAAGGCUGCCUCUCCUCCACUCUCCCCAAUUCGAGGGGAGUGCACAGACACAUGGAAUGGCCACGAGGAAUCAGCUCAUGAACCGGACCUUGCUGGAUGUGUGUUAGUGUUCUAUUUGGUGGUGUGUCUGUAUUGGGGUGUGCACACUGUUCCACAUGGGUUUGCAUGGGCAAGCGUUCAUCUUCUUUAAUCUAAUGGCAGACAGUUGUACUGCAUUGUUUGAAUACAAAGUACACAAAAAGUAACUCUAAGAUUAAGUGAGAUUUAAAAUCUGAAACAACACUGAUUCGGAUAAAAACGUUCAGACUGCUUGCUUGUUGGAUACCACUACUGUCAGUGAUCAAUUGGGUCCAGAGCUGCUUCUUCAAAAAAAAUUGGGUCCAGAGCUAACUCAUCAAGGGGAGUAAAUAUAGGCAGUGAUCAAUUGGGUUCGAUCUAGAGCUAAUUCAAGGGGAUUUUAAAUAUAGGCACUGUGGAGUAACAUAUGGCAAUCAAAUAUGACGAGGACAUUUUCUGUGCAAAGAACAGCUGGUUGCCCCAAACUAGCAAUAAUCUUUUUCUUGUCAAUUGCUGAACCAUUAACUUCUGCCAAAGUUAGUCCGAGUAAAAAGUGUGUAAAGAGUUGCCCCAAAAUUUGUGUGUUAUAUCUUUAUUAUGCCACACCAAGCCCUUGUAUAGUAUUUCCUUACACUAAUCGUUAGCCUGAGCACUGGUUACUGUUGGGGAUGGAAGGUACAAUUUUGGCCUUGUUCAGUUCGCAAAAACUUGCGAAAAAGGGCACUGUAGCACUUUCGUUUUUAUUUGACAAACAUUGUCCAAUUAUAGAGUAACUAGGCUCAAAAGAUUCGUCUCGCGGUUUACAGAUAAACUGUGCAAAUAGUUUUUGUUUUCAUGUAUAUUUAAUGCUCCAUGCAUGUGCCGCAAGAUUCGAUGUGACGGGGAAUCUUGAAAAAUUUUGCGAACUAAACAAGGCCUUUGUUUCGUGGCUAAAAGCUAUUAAUGUGUCAGAUGAGUGACAUCUGUACUGCUCGAUCGUGCACCCUGCACAUGGUAGAAAGAACAAACCAUUUAUUUCUGGUGGGGCAAUCAUGUACCCUAAGAGUGUUGUUUACUUUAUAUUAGUCUGAAGACUGAUAACAACAUGAAUUUUUGAAUGGGAAUGGAAGCUCGCAAUUGCUUCAUGGAUCAUUCAGUUUGUAAACAGAAAUCAGGGCAAUCAUGUAUCAAAAGAAAAUUGGCUCGGUCCAUUACAAGAUGAACGAAUUUGAAAAUACUUCCCAACUUGAGUGAUCUUUGGGCCGGUAGGGAGAGCAAAAUAAGCUAUUAGGGUUCUAUUCUAGGAAGCCUUUUUUUUGUCGCUGUUUUUAAUGCUAAGGACAAGAAUCAUUCAGCACACAUAGAAUGGUAGAAGUGGAGGCCAUCAAUUCGAAAAUUCUUGAUGCCUGUGCAUGUUGAUGCUUGGUCAUGGGACACGUAAGGUCGAAAAGGACCUAUUAUUGGUGCUUCUCUGGCUAGUGUCCAUGAUGGCGAUGAUUAGGUGCACUUGCAACAGGCAGGCUCACUCACCACCUCCAUGGCUCCUCCACCACUCCACUUCCAGCCGUUUGGAGGGAAAAGGUAUUCAGAAAUUCCAUUGGAGGGGUCACUGCACUGGGCCUUCAUCAACCAUUAAAUCCGACUUUUGUGGAAUGCCAUUCUUUGGUCGUAUUGAUUUUUAUCUCCUUUAUUGUGGUGCAGUUUCCACCAAAAAUGGAUGGUAUAUUCCCUCUGAGCUCUGAAUCAUUAUUUGUUGCAGACUGAAAAACAGUAUUUUUUUACAUGGUAUUUUUGUGACUUUGUUGCCUUUUAUGGCCUGCGUCUGCGACAAUAUCACGAAGAACUAAUUCAACUAGAUUCAUGGAAGUUUUUUUUUUUCAUUCUGCACUGAAGAAUUGAGAGAUGCAGAGGUUGAUAAACACGAAGUAGUGGCAAAACAGGAAGACCACACUCCUCAAUCUCCCUGUUCCAAAAAGUGCAUCUCAAAAGAGGAGAUUGCCUCUUCAACUUUUUGUAAAAGGUACCUUUAUUUUCUGCAUCGUGGAUCUGUAGAUUUGGUCUCUUCGAUAAACCUCAGUUUGUUGGUAAAGAUUGGUUAGUUGGGUUUUGGCUUUUAGGUUGAUUGUUAGAAACUUAAUUGCUAAGCAAUUGGGUAGCAAGAAAGGACAUCUGGCUUCCAAAUUUUGGCACCAAGCAUGGCAAAUGGUCAAAAGCUGCGCCAAAUUAUUACUUAUAAAAAGGUUAAUGAGAUUAGUUUAGAGGUUGUCUUAGCUUUUACCAGCAUGGAUGCCUUGGGUGGGUCGCUGGAUGUUGUACAUUUACCUUCAGUACAAAUUACUCUUGGACAUCCCUAAGACAAGGAUAGGAAUGGAGAAGAAUUGUCAGCAGCAGGAGGAAUAGCUGCAGAAUUGAUGUUUGGUGAGACAAGAAUAGCAUCGAUAGGGAUUUCCAGACUUUGCCACGCAACCCAUACAGUAAGCUUUCUUUGACUUUUCGUUAUUCUUUUUUUUUCCAUUAAAGCACACCACCAGCAGCCUCUUUAAAAUGCCACCGUGCAAGUUCUUCCUGGUUCUCACAAGAGCCUUUGCUGCAUCAACACCUGCCGGCUGCAGGCAAGUAAAAGCAUCCCUCUUAGCUUCUCCCUUCUACUGCAGUCCUCUGCCCCCGGCCUGCAGAUCAUGGAGGAAGCAUGGUGGCAGGAAUGUCUGCAUGGUUCUUGAGAGUUGCAUAAGCAGCAAAGCAGUUCAUGGAUGGUUGGAUGACAAUGGCCAGUUGAGCACUUGAGCUGCUGGUCCUCAUCAAUCAUCAGUUUGUAUUUGUCCAUGCCUCUUGUGGCCGUCUUCCCUGGCUGGCUUCCAGUUCCGGAAGGCCCGGUGAGGCGUGGACAGAGACCGGCAAGUCAGAGAUCGGCAAUGGUGAGCUCCUGCAGGAGCCUACUCCUUAUUUACCAGUUUAAGGUUUCCCUCUACCUGUUGUUGCUCGUCUUCCUUCGCUCCUUCUUAUCUGUCCCCUCUGUACCGGUGAGAGCAGAAGAUUUCAGUAGAAGUCUUGCUUUCUGGAGACAGUUUCAGUGUUGGUUUUGGAAUAUGCUACUGUGAUUUGCUCGUGUUUACCCUCGCUAAAGAUAGCUUGUGUGACCUUUAUUUGUGUUGUCGAAUCUGCAAUCAUUUUGAUGAUCUACUUGUAAAGGACGUGAUGACUAUUGUCAUAUUGUUGGACAAUUUUUAAGUGAAAACUCCACGAAGCUGAAAACAUAGUAAUGGACGGACAUUCUACUUCUGCAUGUUGGCGUCGCGGAUAUAUGUCCUGGAUCCUCAUCAGUUUCUCAGAAAUUUACGCACACAUGUCCAGGUGUCCUGAAUCCUAAUAACACCUGAUCAGGACGCCAGAAAUUUAUGGUUUCUGAAGCCUGAAAUGCUGCUGGGGUAUGUAUGCUGACACUGGAUACACCGAGUCCACCUGCGCGAAAUGAUUUUGAUUUUCCCUUGCAAGUUGCACCGCGUGUAACUUCAGGCAACUGAUACGAGAGGCAUCUAUCGAUAAUUUAGGGGAAAAGAUGUCGCAAGUUUUCCUGGCGUAUAUGUUCUUUUUCUCGAAUGCAUCGUCAAGAAAGAAAAAUUUCUUGGAACAUUCAUGUAUUCAGAAAAAAAAGAAGUCUAGCCAUGCCUCUUUCACUCAUGGUGAAUUAUUCUCUCCCCGGUGAGACGUGACACCACGUCAUUCCGAAGCUGCAGAACCGACCAGCUGCUGGACGACUGAAAAAUUCACACACAGAUAAAUAACCUGAAACGACAGCUCUGGGUGAGUGCUAUCACAGAUAUACUAUAGCAAAGCCCUGUCGGCCAAGCAGCUAUGAGCUCCAAAAGGCUGCAUACCAAUAUGCCAUGUGAUAUUAACAGUAAAACUUGUGUGCCUCCUAAGUAAGUCUGAGGGCCCUUUGAAACACAUAAAUUGUGCAUGAUUUAUACAAGAUUUUUUCUACAUUCUGGAGGGGGCAUAAAUAAGUUAGGGAAUAAAGGCAUUUCCAGAUUAUCCAUGAACUUUGUUUCCAAAUUCAAUCUAAAAUAAGUUAACAAGUAAAUUUGUGGCUGCAUUUCAAGUUUAUCAUGAACUUCUGUUUGGGAGAAGUAGAAGGCAGGAAUAUAGAUGAGAGAGAGGACAGCUCUCCAUGCGUGAGACUAAAAAACUGUCAUGUCGGUCUUCCAGAAUAAAAUUAAGGCCUUGUUCGUAGAACGGCCGGAACGUGGCCCGUUCCAAGUGGAUCGGCUGGACUCAGAAUUAAUCUUCGUCCAAUUGAGAAUAGAUGUUAGGUUAAUUUAGAGUUGAAUUAUAGCUGGCUCAUUCCUAGCGGUUUUUUUGUCUCAUUCCACAGGAUCAAUUCCCGGGCUCCUACUCCCGGGGAGAAAACCAGACCCCUUUUUAAUAUACUAACCAAGUUUCACUGAACCACUAGGAACCACUCAAUCCAGCCUAGGAAGAGAAACAGACCCGUUUUGAAUAUGGAAGAAACGAACAAGGCCUAAGUGUACAUCAUCUAUAUAGAAUUAACCGCAAAAAUAGCAGUGGAUCGUUCAAUAAUCUACAACAAGGUGCCUAGAAAGCAUAUACGCUAAGCGCUCCUGGUAGUCUUUUAGACAUCCCACAUGAUCUGUCUUCUAAGCGGAUUUUACUUUUACUAACUGAUUGGGUGGGGGGAUGAGUAUAUAUCAUAUCCAACCACUUUUUCUAUGAGCACGGUUUAUAUACCAGUUUGUAUGUUACUCACAAGUCACACUUCUAAUGUAUGUGCCUGAGUUUUACUACAAUAUCUUUACUAGGUUGAUCUAGUAUGUGCUACCACUCUAGAGCUCCACCUACCUAAAAAACAUCUAGGGGCCGCCCCUGAGCCAUUCUUAAUUAAUAUAGGAAAUCCCUUCAUCGGAUCCAUCCCUUAUUACUGCACUAGAUGCUAGUAAUUUAUAAGCCAUCUCUCACAACUCAUAUAAAUAUGGUUGUACUACUUUUCUAAGUAGUCACUCCACAAACCGAUCUUCAUAAGAGACUCUAGCAUGCCCAACACUAACCACCUAAAACUAAAAUACCAUAAACAUCACCAUCACCUGCAUAGCCACAAUUGUAACAUAGUCUGAUUUAGUCCUCCCAAGCUUGGUGCCAUAUCAAACAAAAUUCCCAUCUAAACCACCCAGGUUAAAAAACAAUUAAUGCUAAAAGUCAUGCAGAUCAAAAUCUGAUUUUACACGCUAAGAAGUAAAGUUGUGCUCCGCGGAUAAUAAUUGAGAUAAUAGAAGGACUUAAUCGAACUAUCAACGUGGUAUGACUAUUCUUCUAGUUCUCCUAGAAUUUUAAAACCAAACAUCUUACUUCGAAACUAUCAAAAUUAUAGAUUCAUGGUUGGCGCCCAAGAUUUAUAGAUUCCAUUCGAUUUCUAUUUUGAUCUUGAUUUUAUCCGGGCAAAACACGUCAUGGUUGGCGCCCGAGAUGUGGAAUAUGCGGACUCUAUGGGACAAGGCCGAUGCGGACUCAAUUAUGUGGGAAGGGUUUCGAACGUUUCUAUCUCCUAGAAGAACUUCCGCUUUUUUUUUCAAAAGCUCAUGGCCGAGCUUGAGACACUUUAAGAUUAUUAGGUUGGAAGAAAAUUUAAAGUGGCUAAAUUUUUACCUCUUUAGUAUUGAUAGGUUAUAAUCCAAAUCUAUCCCUACUACUAAAUUGUGAAAAUUUCAGUCAGCCCUAAAAUUUUUCUGCCCUCCGUACCAGAAUCGGCCUCGGCGUCCCUAUGAAUCUAUCGUUGGCUUCCAACGCUGCCAGAGAGAAAAAAAAAGUUUUUCUAAGGUUCCUAAUGUAAAAUCUCUUUUAUACAUUAUAGACAUUGAGAAUAAAGAAAUUAUAGGGGCUUAGAUGCAAAGUGUUUAUCCUAUCAAUUUAUUUUUCUUUUAUUAUUUAAACCGAUUAAUAAAUACAUAGUAAUUCAUAGAUAAAUCCAAAAAUUACAAAACAAAUUUUGUUCAGCUCCACAAAUGUAGAUCUAUACAGUAAACAAAAAAUAUCAAAAAUUUUAUUAUAUUUUCUUUGCUGGAGAUGCUUGCCUAUGCUUUUUAGUAUAAAAUUGAUAGAAUAGCAAAGCUGUUGUAGACCUCUUUUUUUUCAAAAAAAAGUUUUCUAUUUUAUAAAAUGACUAAACCAUAAAAUUUGGCUACUAAUUUUAGCCAAGCAUUCAAAAUCUAUUUCAAAUUAUGAGUUACUAUAAAUUAUUUAACUCUCCCAAUGUCCCAAUCACAUCCGUACUUGCCAUUAGUGUCUUUAGCACAUUCAAAAUAUAGUAUAAGUACAAAAUCUCUCUUGUUAAGGUUACGUGCGUUAUUUGAGUUACCCCAUAAACUAUCCUAGAAUAUGUCUUAUUUCCAAUGAACGAAGGAGUAUAUCUAUACUUCUAAUUCUAAUACUAAAGAGGCAAAAUUUCAAUCAAAAUUUUCGUCUGAUCAAAAUUUUCCAAUUUACUUAAUAUACAAUUACUGGUCUAAUUAGGUUAGGGAAAAAAGGAAAGUUAUGAAUUGAAUCUAACUCGGAAGCCUAACACGAGUUUAAACCAAUUUUAGACCGAAAUAAGCGAAUAGUUGGGCUAGACCAAAAUCCAAAACAAUCAUAAAUUUUGCCUUUUUAUUAUAAGAGAAGGAACUACAGAUUAGGACUUCGAUUUUUAUUUUGCCUCCAAUUGACAUCUAACCACAUAAAGAAAGCGCAACAAAAUAAAGAACGUAAUUCUUAUCAUUUUCUAUUUGACUAUUAAGAGUUCUAUUUAGAAUACUUAGGAUGUGAGGAAUCUAUUUAUAUUAGGAUUUCUACUCUGUAUUGGUUUAGACGCAAGUUAUUUUAACUCAUAUGAGCACGAGUUAUAUACAUAAGUCCAGAUAAAAGAAACUCUUCAUCGUUUGGUAGUUAGAGGCAGACAGAAAAAAUAGAUGGACAAAAGAAAGAGGUUAAAAUUUUACCUCUUUAUUAUUAGGUAGAUAUAUAUAAUUAGAUAACAGAGAUAUAGAUAUAGAUUUGAUAGCUUUUUUUCUUCCGUUGCAACGCACGGGCAUUUUUGCUAGUAGUUUUUUAAACCUGAUAAUCCAAAUGGUUUUGACAGUUCAGAAAUAUGAUUCAUGGUUUUGAAGUUUUUUGAAAAGAAAAACAGAACUUAAAAAAUUUCUGCCAGCAGCCCAGCCCAUCCCGAGUGUCCGGCCUUUCUUGUGUUAGCGAGGUAGUAGAAUGGACCCUUUAUCUUUCCUUCCUAUAAAUGUCCGGUGAGCUGCAACCCAGCCCAUCCCGAGUGUCCGGCCCAACUAGCCCACGUAUAUACUCCAAACCUAACCCUAGCAGUACAUCUCGCUCUCCACGGCGGCGGCGGCUACGGCAACACGUCUCGCGCGGGAUCCUAAUUCCAAACAGCACUGCUCUCCCUCCCUCCCUCCCUCCCUCUCGUGGCGACGACUGGGCGGGCGACCGCUGCCGGUGUCCAGGUGCCCAGGUGUACAUCGGUACCUCGCCAGGUCUUCUUCGGCCCUUCGCCGCCGACAAGCUCUGCCAGGUACGCCCACCCUUCUUUUUCCGUUCCUGCUGUGCGAAGCUGAGCACCCAAACCCUAGGGCGCGUUUGGUUCCCGUCCGAGGACAGCCAGGAAGCCAGCCAGGCCCCUGGCAGCCAUGCUCGGCGCGUGCGAUUCGGCUUUGUUUGGUUCGUCGUAUACUGUCAGCCCGAUCUAGUAGGUAUGUUGUUUGUUUCCCGUGAUGCACAGGCGUCAGAGUGGUGUCAGUCUCUCAAACAGAUGCCGCGCGCUUGCUUGCUUGCACCAUCCCGGCCUGGCUGCGUAGGAACGGCGAAAGUUCUCGUAUCGGGAGAGACAGGCCCGGCGGCUAUUUUUGCACCUGCUCAACCUAGCUAGAACUCCCGCACAACCAACCAAUCAUUAUCAGAUGAGCCUGGUUGGCCCUGGUACUGGGAACCAAACGCGCAACUGUACUAAUAUUUUAAAUUGGUUCAUAUUGUUGGUUUAUUAAUGUGUUCUUUUUUGGCUACUGUGAUAUCUUAUUUUAUCAAAGCAAGGCUAGUAAAUCAUGUUCUGCUAUUACAGGUUGCUGUGUUAAGUUGUCACAUGGAUCCAGCACAAUAUUUCCAACCCAGGACAUUCUCAAUAAAGUUGUGGCCACCAAGUGAAAGCACACGGCUCAUGCUUGUUGAGAGGAUGACAAAGAAUCUGUCCACAGAGUCAGAGUCCAUUUUCUCUCGCAAAUACGGUACUUUGGGCAAGGAAGAAGCUCAUGAGAAUGCAAAAAGGAUUGAAGAACUUUGCUUUGCCUCGGCUGAUGAGCAUUUCAAAAGGGAGCCAGAUGGUGAUGGGAGUUCUGCUGUCCAGCUAUAUGCAAAGGAAACGAGCAAGAUGAUGUUGGAAGUUCUGAAAAAAGGCCCUAGGACUACUGCAGAACUGGAAGCACCUGUAGCUGAUACACCUCUAGUGCCUGAUACACCUCUUGUGCCUGCUGAUACACCUCUUGUGCCUGCUGAUACUGUACUAGAUAUAUCUGGUGGCAAGCGUGCUUUUAUUGAGGCAGAUGAAGCAAAGGAACUGCUGAGUCCACUUACAAAACCAGGAAAUUCAUAUCAAAGAAUAUGCUUUAGCAACAGGAGCUUUGGUAUUGGCGCUGCUAAUGUUGCUGGGCCAAUUCUUGAGUCAGUUAAGAAUCAGCUCACAGAGGUAGAUAUCUCAGAUUUUGUGGCAGGAAGGCCUGAGGAUGAAGCUCUUGAUGUGAUGCGCAUAUUCUCCAAAGCAUUAGAGGGUUCUGUCCUGAGAUAUCUGAACAUCUCUGACAAUGCUUUGGGUGAGAAGGGUGUCAGGGCAUUCAGUGAGCUUCUGAAAUCACAGGAAUCCCUGGAAGAACUAUAUGUGAUGAAUGACGGUAUAUCAGAGGAAGCUGCAAAAGCUCUAUCUGAGCUUAUUCCUGCAACUGAGAAGCUCAAGGUUCUUCACUUCCACAACAAUAUGACUGGAGAUGAAGGUGCUAUGUAUAUCGCUGAGAUGGUUAAGCGUUCUCCAAAUGUAGAGAGUUUCAGGUGCUCAGCAACAAGGAUAGGAUCUGAUGGUGGAGUCGCAUUGUCUGAGGCAUUAGGGACAUGCACUCGUCUGAAGAAACUUGAUCUCCGGGACAACUUGUUUGGUGUUGAUGCAGGGUUAGCUCUCAGCAAAACCCUUCCAAAGCUUCCUGAUCUUGUUGAGCUUUAUCUCAGUGAUCUCAAUCUUGAGAACGAGGGCACAAUCGCAAUUGUCAAAGCCCUCAAACAGUCAGCACCGCAGUUGGAGGUCCUUGAAAUGGCAGGAAAUGAAAUAAAUGCCAAAGCAGCCCCAGAUUUGGCAGAAUGCUUAACAGCAAUGCAGUCACUGAAGAAGCUGACCUUGGCUGAAAAUGAACUGAAGGAUGGCGGUGCUGUGAUUAUUGCAAAAUCAUUGGAAGAUGGCCACACAGAUCUCAAGGAACUUGAUGUGAGCACGAACAUGCUGCAGAGGGUUGGAGCUCGGUGCUUUGCGCGGGCAGUCGCAGAUAAACCAGCUUUUGUGCAACUGAACAUCAAUGGAAAUUUCAUCUCUGAUGAAGGGAUUGAUGAGGUGAAGGAAAUUCUGAAGGCUGGUAAGAAAUCCCUGGAUGUUCUGGGCUCACUAGAUGAGAAUGAACCUGACGGGGAGCCUGAUGAUGAGGAAGAGGACCAGGAUGCUGAGGACAAUGAGGAUGAGCUGGAUUCGAAGCUGCAGAGUGUGAAGGUUGAGCAGGAUGAUUGACCAAGUUGGUUUUAAGGUAUAAGUGUUGUUGAUCCUUGGUUCCUUAGUCAGUUUUUGUUAUGUAAAACCAUUUAUCUUUUGCAAUCUGAUUAUAGAUUAGAACUGCUCUUAUCUAUUCUGUUUUAUUCAGGUCAUGCUCCUUUAUAAUUGGUCUGAUUUAUAGAUGCUAUCUAUUUUCCCAACAAGUCUUUUUGGGUGACUGCUCACUGGUAGUUGACCUACUACUGUAGCCUGUUUCUAUGACCCUGCUUUGAUCAGUAAAUUCACUUGCUAGGUCGGUACUAUGUUCACUCUAAUCACAG